rnacentral:lncRNA from 1 species
GAAUCUUCUGAUUCAACGGACCAAACAAAUGGAGAUCUCGAGGAUCUUACUUAAAUCUCAAAUAAUACAGUUACAUAUUAUUACAAGAAAAUAACACAAAGCAAGCAAAGCCGGACAUUUCGGGAAGCAAUACAAAAAAAAUUGGCAGAGGCAAUGGAAUUGCUCCAAAUAGGAGGAUGCAAAUGAGUUAAUAGUCAAGGAAGUUGUGGAAAAUUAUGAAAGUGAACGAUUUGAAUAUUAGUAGUAGGUUGGUGGGGGUGGAGGUGAAGCAUAUGUGGCAGAUUGCUCGUAGUUUUUAGGUGGUGGAGGUGAGGCAUAAUUGGAAAUUUGUUUAACGUAGUUUGUUGGAAGUGGAGGUGAGUAGUAUAAUGGCGAUUGUUCAUAGGUCUUUGGUGGAGGUGGCGGUGAUUCAUAAUAAGGUGGAGGUGGCGGUGAUUCAUAAUAAGGUGGAGGUGGAGACUUAUAAUUAAUUGGUGACUGCUCGUAGUAUUUUGAUGGUGUUGGCGGCGGCGGAGAGUAGUAUGAAGAUGACUGCUCAUUGUAUUUUGGUGGAGGCGGUGGAGAUUUGUAAGAAGAUGAUGAUUGCUCGUAGUAUUUUGGUGGAGGUGGAGGUGACUUGUCGUAUGAAGGUGACUUUACGUAAUACGCUGGUGGUGGUGGUGGAGAUUUGUAAUAAACUGGUGACUUGUAAUAUUUUGUUGGUGGCGGUGAGUUGUAAUAUUUAGAAGGAGCAUGUGAUUUAUAAUAUUUUGUUGGGGAUGGUGAUUUGUAGUACUUUACUGGCGAUGGUGAUUUAUAGUACUUUACCGGUGAUGGUGACUUGUAGUAUUGCUUUGAAGGAGCAGGCGACUUGUAGUACUUUACUGGUGAUGGUGACUUGUAGUAGUACUUUGAAGGAGCAGGUGACUUGUAGUACUUAACUGGCGAUGGUGAUUUGUAAUACUUAACUGGCGAUGGUGAUUUGUAGUAUUUUACCGGCGAUGGUGACUUGUAGUAUUGCUUCGAAGGAGCAGGCCAAUUAUAAUAUUUUGCCGGUGAAGGAGAUUUGUAAUAUUUUACUGGUGAUGGCGAUUUAUAAUAUUCGUACUUUGAAGGUAGAGGCAAUUUGUAGUUUUCGACAGAUUUUCCUGGUUUCCUGUAGUAAGGAAUGGUGGGUACAACAUACUUAGAUGGAGAUGGUGAUUUGUAGUACUUCUUAGAGUUAUAAGAAGGUGAGGGAGAAGUAUAACCAUAAGAGUAAUCAGCAAAAACAGUGCUGGCUGCUAAGCAAAUUGCCAAAGCAACAGCAAGAAGAGGCCAUUGCCGUAGCUUCAUUAAGCUUCUCAUUUUGAUCUGCAAACCAACUGUAAUUGGAGAAGAGAAGGAGAGAACCUAGAAAACUUGCAUUGCAUAGUUGAGAAGGGAGCUCUGGUUUUUAUACAGCAAUAUGACAUCUUUCUUGACAUUUAUAAAAUGGCUUCAUGGUUACCCACUAAGAUGAGAGCAAAGUCCAAAUAAAGACUUGGUCAGUACUAACUACUAAGUGGGAGGCAUUUUCUGGUGACAAAUUAAUUCAAAUAAACAGAAAAAAAAUUAAAUAUCUGAAAAAAUUAAGAAGCAUACCAAAAACUAGUCAACAUUUGACAUAACUCAUAGUAAUAGAAAGCCAAUGUACUUUGUUGAAGACUUGGUCAGGGUGGUUCACACCCACCAGACUGCCUAUCCAGAUUACCAUACUCACUAAGAGACUUGAUUGCUUACUCUUCUUUUCUUGUUUGUUCUUUUUCUAUAUUUGCUUCCUCCGCACUCAAUGAACAAUCAGAUGCGGGAUUACAUGUUGAUUGCGGUGUGCUUGUCUUGAUUGAUUUCGCAUAUCUCUUUCUUGUUUUUGGGCAAGCUGCUCUAGCUCAAGUGGAAUCAGUUACAGUUGGCAUAUAUAAAAAAGUAUAAUAUCGUGUCUUCUUUUAUUAAGGAAUUUCUAGAGAGGAAUCCCCUGGCCUUAGAUCAUUUAGCCGUAGCUCAUUGGGGUUGAAUUAAGGGUGUCAACCAUGUCGGGUCGGACCGGACCGGUAUAACCUGGGAUCGGACCGGCCCCGGUUACUAAGGGGCCGGGUGGGCUGGGUUCGAGGGGGGAGGGGGUUGGUCCGUUUGGGAUUUUUGGGGUUGGAACCGGCCCGGUUUGAGUAAACAGUACCGUGAACCGGUUGGACCGGCCGGUUCAACGGUAAUUUUUUUUUGAUUUUUUGAAUUUGUGGGGCCCACAUUACCGUUGGCAACGGUCCAGAUCCGUUNNNNNNNNNNNNNNNNNNNNNNNNNNNNNNNNNNNNNNNNNNNNNNNNNNNNNNNNNNNNNNNNNNNNNNNNNNNNNNNNNNNNNNNNNNNNNNNNNNNNNNNNNNNNNNNNNNNNNNNNNNNNNNNUUACAAUAUUAACCCUUCUUAAAAUCUAUAAAUACCCUCAUCUCUUCUUCAUUUCUUCACUCAAAAUUCUUAUCUCAAUCUCAAUUCUCAAAUUAUGAAUCUCUCUCUUCCCUUCAAUUUGCAAGAUUUCAUAUUCUAGAUUUAUAAUUUUAUUUGUCUCUCUUUACCCGAAUUUAAUUUAGCGCAAUUUGUCAUUCGAAAUUUGAAGCUUGAAGUUUAAAACUGAAAUACUUGCUUGACGUUUGUUCGUGGUAACACCGGAUUUGCGUAAUCAAGUGCUCNNNNNNNNNNNNNNNNNNNNNNNNNNNNNNNNNNNNNNNNNNNNNNNNNNNNNNNNNNCCGCCUAAUUUGCAAGAUGUAGAGAUUGAUUAUGAACAAUUACAAGAAGAUUUUGGAAUAGAAGAUAAUGAAAUUGGAAUAGAAGAUGAGAUACCACCGACACCUAGUAGUGGAAAUGUUGGUAGUAUUGAAGUUAGAGUUGUUAGUGCUACAAGGGGUAGUAGACGACCAGUGGCUCCAACUUCUAAUCGUAAAAGAAGAAGUCCGGUAUGGAAAUUUUUUGAAAUAAUAGAAGGCACUAAUAGAGUUAAGUGCAACUUUAUAACGAAACUUUUAAACAUUUGACCGGAGAAAAUUUAGGGGAGACUGAGACAUUUACUAGAAAUAUAUUGUCUAUCCAUCCCAUAGAAUGGGGCAAUAAUGGGGAUGGAAGUCAAAUAACUAUUAACCCUACUACUGGAGGUCUACUAAAAUAUGAUAAAAUGAGGGAUCGUGANNNNNNNNNNNNNNNNNNNNNNNNNNNNNNNNNNNNNNNNNNNNNNNNNNNNNNNNNNNNNNNNNNNNNNNNNNNNNNNNNNNNNNNNNNNNNNNNNNNNNNNNNNNNNNNNNNNNNNNNNNNNNNNNNNNNNNNNNNNNNNNNNNNNNNNNNNNNNNNNNNNNNNNNNNNNNNNNNNNNNNNNNNNNNNNNNNNNNNNNNNNNNNNNNNNNNNNNNNNNNNNNNNNNNNNNNNNNNNNNNNNNNNNNNNNNNNNNNNNNNNNNNNNNNNNNNNNNNNNNNNNNNNNNNNNNNNNNNNNNNNNNNNNNNNNNNNNNNNNNNNNNNNNNNNNNNNNNNNNNNNNNNNNNNNNNNNNNNNNNNNNNNNNNNNNNNNNNNNNNNNNNNNNNNNNNNNNNNNNNNNNNNNNNNNNNNNNNNNNNNNNNNNNNNNNNNNNNNNNNNNNNNNNNNNNNNNNNNNNNNNNNNNNNNNNNNNNNNNNNNNNNNNNNNNNNNNNNNNNNNNNNNNNNNNNNNNNNNNNNNNNNNNNNNNNNNNNNNNNNNNNNNNNNNNNNNNNNNNNNNNNNNNNNNNNNNNNNNNNNNNNNNNNNNNNNNNNNNNNNNNNNNNNNNNNNNNNNNNNNNNNNNNNNNNNNNNNNNNNNNNNNNNNNNNNNNNNNNNNNNNNNNNNNAGUUUUAAAUCCUUCUAUUAAAAUGGGUGAUUGUCACCAAUUAAUGAAUGCUUUAUAUACUUAUGUGGAGAUUGGAGAAACUGAAACCCAAAUUUAUAUGAUUCUAUGAACAAGCUAAAUGAACAUUUAUAACAACUAUAUAAUUAUUAUGCAAAUGAAUGUGAUAAUACUGCUCGUGCUUCUGGCGAUGUUANNNNNNNNNNNNNNNNNNNNNNNNNNNNNNNNNNNNNNNNNNNNNNNNNNNNNNNNNNNNNNNNNNNNNNNNNNNNNNNNNNNNNNUGCAAUGUAGCAGUUCUGCUAAUAUGGAUGAUGAAGGCCUUGAUAGUUUUAAUAUUUUUUCUACAUUUUCUAACACUCAAACCAGUUGCAGGAAUAUUUAUGAGCUUCAAUUCUACUUGCAAAAGCAAAAGGAGCCUCGCACAAAGGACUUUUCACCGUUGGGAUGGUGGUAUGAAAAUGAAAAGCAAUUUCCUAAUUUUUUCGCUAUGGCACGGAACGUGCUGAAUGUGCCAAUUUCUACUGUUGCAUCGGAGAGUGCGUUUGGCCUAGCAAGACAACAACUUGGAGACACUCGUCAUUCAUUGGGAAGCAAUGCUUUGGUUUUUAUUAUGUUUCAGAGAUUGGAUUAGAUCGGAACGAGGAAAUCAAGGAAAGGAAGAUGUUGAUAGCCCAGAAGACGAGAAACUUGGAGAUAUAUUAACCCAUGGAAACCCAUCCGAAUUUAAUUCCCCAGAAGAAGGUCAAUCGGUUCAUAUUGAUUAUGAUAAACUUGCUAGUGCGAUGCAAAACAUUGAAAUUACUACUUUACUAGUUUACUUGUUAGAAAAAAUAUAAACAUUUCAUUUUCUACUUUNNNNNNNNNNNNNNNNNNNNNNNNNNNNNNNNNNNNNNNNNNNNNNNNNNNNNNNNNNNNNNNNNNNNNNNNNNNNNNNNNNNNNNNNNNNNNNNNNNNNNNNNNNNNNNNNNNNNNNNNNNNNNNNNNNNNNNNNNNNNNNNNNNNNNNNNNNNNNNNNNNNNNNNNNNNNNNNNNNNNNNNNNNNNNNNNNNNNNUAGUACUUUAUAUUAAUACUAUAAAUUACAAUAUUUAUAUAAAAUCCAAAAAAAAAAAAAAAAAAAUAUACUAAACUCGGCCCGGCCCGACCCCCUCAACCCGUAACCUAUAUGGUUCAAUUUUAACCCGAACUAACAUAGCCCGCUACGAACCCGUCACUGUGCAACCCGGCCCGACACGGAACCCGGACGGGUCGAAAAAAUUCCGGAUCCGGACAAGCCCGGUAGACCCGUUUGUCACUCAUAGGUUGAAUGCAGGUGCAUCCAAAAAUUAAUACUUAUGAGUUCCUGCAACGAUUUCGAGUAAGUUUUCAAUAGUAACUGGGUUCACAUUUAAAUAUUUAUAGAUAUUGGUGAAUUUUUAAGUUAUAUUUACACUGUUUGGACAAAAACGACUGAGUUUACGGGAACCCGUAAAUAACAGGCUAAAUCCGCCCCUGGUUGGAUGCUUGGUGACAACCUUGACUACUCGAGGAACUUUUAAUCGAAAAUUGUUAAGUGGGAUUCCAGUAGAGAAUGAUACUACAAUCGCAAAAUCUUCAUUAGAUCUUCUAUAAUAACUAUGCCUGCUCGUUGCAGUAGAUAUUGCUGUUUUCUGAUAGCUAAUAUAGAAUAUGUGAUUUCUAACUAGAACUUGGAUUUUACAUAAAGAAUCUUGACGGACGAAGUAACUAUUAAAUAACAUAUUCUACAGCCUCUGCUGAAGUUCUGCUCCACCACACUAACGUGUCAACGGAAUGAAAAUCACUCCAACGAUAUGCCUCCAGCCAGUUUGUUAGCAAGAAGAAUAUCUGAAUUGUUAGCAGAGAAGAGAUGAUACAGCUGCUUCUACAGGAUUCACGUCGUAGAGGCUUUCUCUUGGCUUGCCAUGUAUGUCAGGUACACAUUCCAUACGUACGAAAACGUGUUGCUUACAAGCGGCUGUCAAUAUAGUAAUAAGAUCUCGUUAGUUGCGUUCUCAAGUAGACAUACAUAUAUAUUAUUAUUUAUAUGUAAGGAUAGAGACAUAGCCCUCUGCUGAAAAUGAAGGUAGAAAAAGGAACAUUUUCUUCAAAUUGGGAGUAGAAGGAUUGGAACCCAAUGACAGAACAAAAGACAUCCGAAGUUAUGUAUAGUGACGUUAGGGGUCGAUGAGACCUUGAGCAUACCUGUAAAUGAACGGGAACAAAUUUGAAUGUAAUGAAAUCACAUAUUGGCCAGUACAUAAGACCAUUGACAAUAGUGGGAACCAAGUCGCGCUUGAGUCUGGCAACAAUCUCUGAACUACUUUCACCUGGUGUAUCAUCCGAUAAUUAGAAUUAGUGGAAAAAAAUUUCAAAGUCAAUGCUCGAUAUAAUUCAGAAAAAAGUAAAGAAGGAAAAGUCAGAGUUCAAAUAGACGUUGACAAUUAUUGCUAGUUCAUUCAUAUCCAUUCAGCAAAUAAAGAGAACUGACAACACAUUCAAAUUCCAAAUCACCAUGAAUGGUGGAUAGUCAUUUGCCUGUAAAAAUUGACACGGAAUAAGAACAAAAAGGGAAAAAAGGAAAGAAGCAUAAGAAGGCUUGCCAACGUAGAGUCUAGAGACUGAGAUCUUAUGCUGUAUCAAUUUAACAAGCAUAUCUUCCCUAAUCUAAUUUUAAAUUUCCUAAUCUAAUUUUCGCAGUAAUUUCUAUUGGUCCAUGACCUCUGAGAUAUUGUGAUACAGAGUUUGGUACACUAUCUCUCAAACCCAGAUGUCAGCAGUUGUUUUCUCUCAUGUCACAAAACCUACACCCUCCUCUCCGACAUUCUCACACAAGUUUGGUACAAGUGUUAUCUUUCAUUUUGUGGGUUCAAGAGUGUGAUAAAUUUCCCCACAUCUAGAGUGCUCCAUUGAUACUUUAUUUAGUUGAUGACAGUAAGGUACACCAACAACAACAACCCAGUAGGGUCUGGGGAGGGUAGUGUAUACACCGACCUUACCCCUACCCUUGGGUAGAGAGGCUGUUUCCAAAUAGACCUCCGGCAUCCUUCCNNNNNNNNNNNNNNNNNNNNNNNNNNNNNNNNNNNNNNNNNNNNNNNNNNNNNNNNNNNNNNNNNNNNNNNNNNNNNNNNNNNNNNNNNNNNNNNNNNNNNNNNNNNNNNNNNNNNNNNNNNNNNNNNNNNNNNNNNNNNNNNNNNNNNNNNNNNNNNNNNNNNNNNNNNNNNNNNNNNNNNNNNNNNNNNNNNNNNNNNNNNNNNNNNNNNNNNNNNNNNNNNNNNNNNNNNNNNAGAACUUUCCACCUUGCUCUUGGGGAGACUCGAACUCACAACCUCUCGGUUGGAAGUGGGGGUUGCUUACCAUCAGAGCAACCCCUCUUGUCCAUAGUAAGGUACACCCUUUGAUUAAAUAUUUUAACCGAAGUAACUCAGAACAUCUAAAAGAAGGACUCAUUUUUACCUUGUGCUGCAGCAUUCAUGGAGAAGAAAACAGAGUUAAUUGCAGGGCCAUAGACAGUCUGUCCCAAAGCUAUUUUCUUAAAUGUUGUGAUGACGUCACGCUUUGGAAAACAUCUUGACAGAAAAUUGAACCAGAAAUGAAGUGAAGGUCCAAUAAUUAGUGCUCCAUAACCAGCCAUCCUCAAUGUUCGCGCGAGAUCAUACUGCGCCAUCAAUGACCCAGCAAUUGUCUGCAGAAUAGAGAGAGGCAAAGAACACGGGGAAAACGAUUAGGAACGUGUAAGGAUUUAUUCCACGGGUGAACCAGAAUAGAGAGAGAAACUAAAAGGGGGGCAGAUGAUGCACAAGACAGGUGAGAUGCAAAUUACAUAUUUAUAUGUUGAGCAAAACGGCAGAGAACUAACAGAUUUUGAUAUUUUGCGGCGCUGUUAAACAAGAUUUACCUGUUCUUUUUUGGACAAGUGAGAUUUUUAAGUACUAGUACUACACCAUACAUGAUACAACUACGCCCAGAAGGGAAACUAGCUAGUUUUGUGCUUAAUGUACUUAUUCCAGCUACUACUAGAAGAUAGCUAAUCAGCAAGGAGAUGAAGCAGAUUAGAAGCCCAUGCUCCUUCAACACUAAGGAAAAUAGAAUCUCCAAUUUUAGGCGGGUUUUCUUGUCAACCAUCGACCAAGAUGCAUAAGAGCAGUUUCCAGUGAUGCUGGACAGAAAGACAUAAUGGCAAAAAGCUAAAUUAUGUACUCUGAUUGUUCGUCUGUGUCAAACACUACACAAACCAUUUUCUGUGUGAAAUGACAAGGCUUUGGUUUGGUUACUUGGGGAAUCCCAGGAGAAAGAAUCUAUAAACUUCUAGGUCAAGUAGUAGGAAAGAAAGGGAGGUCAAGUAGUAGGAAAGAAAGGGACCUCUAACUCAAUUCAAUAACAUGUUUUAAGGCAUCUUUCUCUAAUAUUAAGGUUCACAUUGACCAGACAAGUCACAUCCUCAUCUCGCAGUGUGACAUCUGACAUUUAAGUUAAGCCAUUUCCUAAGUUGAGUCCUCUUUGAUAACCGAUGCUUCAGUUGCACCUCAUGAACUUAUUCAAGAAGUCCUAUUCUUAUAGAUGCCUUUAUCACUUGGAUCCACAGUGGAGAUGGGUCACAAACAGGAAGAAUAGUGUAUGUCCUAUAGUUCGAACUUCUAGAUGAAGAUGAAUCAGAAGCCACAACUGACUUUGAAUAGUGCAUAUCUUAGGGUGAGACUAUAACAGUUCGGAAUGUAAAGAAACCGAAAAAUACGAGGAAGCAAUUGCACGUCAGUUCUGAACUUUAUAGGUGAAAGAUUCAAUAAAGGUAUGGUCAGUAUGGAUAGACAUAGACCGCAGCUGCUACAGCGCACUAUUCUCUAAAUGAAAGAAAUGCAUUAAAUUUGAGAAGCAGAAGAGACAUCUAAGAGCUGCUGGGAUAAGUCCUUACUCAUAGGUUUAAGAUCACUUAUCCUAUACCUAAUACUAAGAGUAACUCUAUCGGGAACUUAGCAUCACCUAGCUAUUUUUUUCUGGUUGAACGAUGGUUUUCCCUAUUUCAGCUAUAUGCUUAAUUGAGGUGAAAAAAAGUAUCAGGAGGGAGGAAAGGAAAGAGGUCAAGAUCAUUUUUCUCUUUUGAUUAAAGAAGUAAAAAAGAAAGAAUACACAAAUUCUAUGCAACAAGCCAACAACUAUUUCAUAACCUCUUCAAUUGUAAACCCUUUGUCACUAAACCACAACAAUUAGACAAAUUUGGGUGCUUUUGGCAUGACAAAGAAUGUAUUCAUACAACAUACAUGAUUUCUUAAUCCUAAUAAUAAUUUUUUCAACAAAGCAACUUUCAAAGAAUCUUAAAACCUAUAUAUAAAGUAAACAAGAACGGAAGCAUUAUGCCAAACCAGAACAAGAAACAUCCAUUGAAAUAAAGAAUCUUUUUUAAAAAAAAUUAUUUAUGUAUUUGCUGCGAAUAAAGUACCUGUGAGGAGAAAUCAGCGGCAGUAAGAAUAAGGCCACAAGUAAUACUCUUGGUGAGAAUGGGCCGAGAGUUUAGCUUCUCUAAGUACCAACCCACGAACCCAACUUUUGAAGCAGAGUUUGAAACCCCUGAAAAGAAAGCCAGAAAACUAGGAUUUGACAACUCAACAAUUUCCUUAUUUUUCCUGUAAAAAGAUUGAGGUAGUCUUGAAUAGACUUUAGAAUGUUGAAGUUGGUGAUGAACAAUAUGGUUCUUGAAAUUCAAAGGUUCAAUGGAGGGGUUUUUACAGAGAUGGUGGAGGGUUUUAGAACCAUUUCUGAGGAAAAAAGCACACAUCUUUGUAUUUUUGGAGAAGAAAUGGAGAAACCCCAGGUGUAUUUUGUGGUUUGUAUUUAAGAGAAAAAAGCUGAAAAGGGGUCUAUUUUUUGUAGUAGGAAAGAGAAGGGAAGAGAAGAUGGAGCAGUCAGUGGUCAGAUGUGCAGCAGAGGAAGGGAACUAGUUAGCAAUUUUGCUACAAAGAUGGCCGUCAAUAAAUAGGAGCAAAGUGUAGAAGACAAAAUAAGGUAAGGUCACCGUCGUUUACCAAGCGCUUCCCUAAUUUUUCAUACACGUGUACAUCCCUACUCGCACUAGAAUAAUUUUUUUGCUUUUCUUUGUUUGAGUAAUUGUAUGAGUUUUUUAUUCUUCAUUUUACACAAUUAGAAAUUACUCUUACUAUUCUGUAUUCGAAAAUAUAUUUAAGAUCAGUAGAGAUGAAAAAAAUUAGAAAUGUAGAGGAAUAGAAAUUAAUUUGAGCAUAUUGAAUUCAUAGUAUUUUCUUAAGGAACUUAAUCCCCUUUUACUAUUCAAAAUUUAAAAUUAUUUACUCUCAAGAUAGAACGGACAACCUCACUGAUGUAACGGUACUUCAAUAACCAAUAAACUCAAAGAAUAGUAGCAAAUUAAAUUUUUUCGUAAGAAUAGUGCAAUAUGUUAUGACUAUUCACGUAAAAAAAAUCAUUACGUAAAUGGCUAUUCACGAAAAGUAAAAUGUGAAAUCAAAAUGCUAAGGAAAAUUAAUUUACCGUUACAAGAACCACUAAUUUGGAUUAAAAUAAUAUUAUGUUAAUCUUAAUAUUAUCUGCGGGAAUGGUCUGCUGUUUAUAGCCAACAUAUUGAGUUUAAACGAAGAGGUGCAACUUUUCAGAAUGUCUAUUAUGACUAUUAAUAAAUAAAUUUAAUCCAAAAAAUUAAACAAUCAAUCAGUUCAUUUGACUAAAGCCGAAGCGACAACACGAUACGAGGCUUGCUUUCUUCUUAACUCUUUAAGAGCUUGAAGAAGAGCAAUUGUAUAUAUACCCAUCAAAAUUCUUUUUCCUCCCCCAAUAGGGGACAAUGUCCCUUUGUUAAGAAGGAAAAAAAUAAAAUUUUAUUUUUCACUCCAUUUUUCAUUCACCCUCUUUAAGCUUAACGAAGCUUAAAAUUCCAACAACUACACCUAGGAGUACUAUUUCAUGAAAAAAAGAAAAUUGAAGAUCAAGAAUACUUCGAGACGAAUGAGUAAUUUCAACUUGGAGUUUAAUUUAAGAUUUUCUAUAUAUAACCUUUGCACAAUUGCACUUGAUGUUACACAAAUUUAUGUUUUUGUUCCUAUUAUUUCUAUUGACUUAGAAGGUAUUUGGCUAAGCUUAUAAGCUAGUUAAAUUAGUUUAUAAGUAUUUAUUGAUUUAUUUAAGUGUUUGGUAAAUUAAAAGUGCUUAUAAGUUAAGUGCUUAUAAGCUAAAAAUAAGUCAAAAAUUAUAAGCCAUAAGUUGGUUUCCCCCUACUUAUCAAAUUUCAACUUAUAAGUGCUUUAGGUUUGACCAAAAUAUUUACUAUUCUAUCCCUAAAACAUUUCUUUUUAAAACAAAAUUCUUCGUAGUUCUUCAGCUGUUUAUUAUUAAUUCUAUCAAUUUUAUCCAAAUAUAUAACUGUUUAUUUUCUAAAUCAAUUUCAAUACUUAAAAGUAGUUUUCAGCACCUAACACUUAUCAACUACUCUAAAUCAGCUAAGCAGCUCUUAACUUGUAACAUACACAUUUCUAACGUGACAGUAAUUCACACCGGCAUGCACUAGAAAAAACUAGAAAGUAGUAGUAGUAGUUAGUAUUAAACAUCGAUCCUAACCACACAUGUAUAUUUCUAUAACUUUCUACACCUUUUGUCCAAAUUAUUUGACUCCAUAUUAAAUUAUGAAACUUUAAAUAUGAAAAAGUAACAAGAGGGGUUGCUCUGAUGGUGAGCAUCCCCCAUUUCCAACCGAGAGGUUGUGAGUUCGAGUCUCCCCAAGAGCAAGGUGGAAAGUUCUUNNNNNNNNNNNNNNNNNNNNNNNNNNNNNNNNNNNNNNNNNNNNNNNNNNNNNNNNNNNNNNNNNNNNNNNNNNNNNNNNNNNNNNNNNNNNNUCUAUUUNNNNNNNNNNNNNNNNNNNNNNNNNNNNNNNNNNNNNNNNNNNNNNNNNNNNNNNNNNNNNNNNNNNNNNNNNNNNNNNNNNNNNNNNNNNNNNNNNNNNNNNNNNNNNNNNNNNNNNNNNNNNNNNNNNUCGAGUCUCCCCAAGAGCAAGGUGGAAAGUUCUUGGAGGGAAGGAUGCCGGAGGUCUAUUUGGAAACAGCCUCUCUACCCAAGGGUAGGGGUAAGAUCUCCAUACAUACUACCCUCCCCAGAUCCCACUAAGUGAGAUUAUACUGGGUUGUUGUUGUUGUAAAUAUGAAAAAGUCUUUUGUCCAUCUGUUUUGCAAGAUAAAAAUAUACGGUUUUAUUACUUUUUACACCUUUUAUCCAAAUUAUUUGACUCCUUUUUAUUCCUCUAAUAAAAAGUGGAAAAAAGUCCGUUGUCCAUUCUCUUUUGCGAAAUAAAAGAAGUUGGGGUGGUAUGAACUAUAUAAUCACGUUCUUUAUUUCUAUAGUGAUAGGAAUUUGGUAUGCUGGUGCCAUUACUUAAAUUGAAAUUUUAUCUGUUUAACAAUAUAUUCAAGGAAAAAAAAAGAAAAAAAAAGGCAAUGCCUGAGAGUAUUUGAUUAGCGCCGCGAGUACAGAAAAUCGGCUCCCACGCCGAAUCGCAUUGAAGGGUUUCCAACAUUUAAGGUAAUAGCACGUCAGCAACAACUUUUUGUUGACGUGAUUCCGCACUUCCAUUCUCCUUUUAACACGUGUUCAGGACUUCCAGCUCACUUCAUUCGUUGCUUUCUGAGUCCUCUAAGUUUUUCAUAUUUCUAGGAAGACCCCGUUCUUUUAAGUUAGCGUCACUUCACGUGCCAAAUUGCACUCCCCCGUUCAGGAAUUAUUUUUACUUCUGACUUGUUAACAUAAUUUUAUAGUUUACUUCUGUCUUGUUAACAAUAAUUUUAUAUGAAUCUUGUUUUGUUAUUUACACACUAUAACUUUUUUUUGGGUCAACUCUAUAAUUUAGGAUGGAAGGUUAAUAGAUGGUAGUGUGUUUUUCUGCGCUGUUUCGGGUUUGUGUAGUUUCUUAGAGGGCUAGUGUUAGAAUGGUUUUAAGUGCCAUCUUCCACUUAGGUUUUCUAGUACCUUACCAUUGUUACUUCUUGACAAUUACUACUGCUUUCUUCCAUGUUUUUCCGGUUCAUACAUUAUUGGUUGUAUUUUCCUAGCCUAUUUCUAUUUUUCGUCUUGAACGGAUGGUCUUUUGAAAACAGCUUCUCUAUUCUCAAGUUAGGAGUAACAUCUUCGUACACAUUACUCUCCCCAAACUCCAGUUGUGGGAUUCCACUGGUUGUAUAAUCUUGUUAUCUUCUUUGAGAGAAAGCCGCUUAACAAUCACCUUGGGUAUUUGGGGGGGGGGGGGGGGCCCUUUUNNNNNNNNNNNNNNNNNNNNNNNNNNNNNNNNNNNNNNNNNNNNNNNNNNNNNNNNNNNNNNNNNNNNNNNNNNNNNNNNNNNNNNNNNNNNNNNNNUUUUGGGGGGGGGGGGGGAGGCCCUUUUACUUUUCUCAAAACUGAAAUUAACAAUUCAACCAUAGAUACGGUGGCAUUAACCUUGUAUCUCUCUGAGUCCAAUUAUAGGUGAAGGUAAGCUCUAGUGAUGGUUUUUAAAAAACCUUAUAUGUUAGCUGGUGCUAACAUGAACUGCAUUGAACAUGAGGUUUCGAACCUCGGUAAAACUGUCAAACUACAUAUACAAUACAGAAGAUAUGUUGUGAUCCCAUAAAGCAACUUUACGAAUGCUGCUUUCCAACUAUAUUUCGAACUAUUUGCAUCCAAAGUCAUAGGGAGCUAGUCCUUUCAGCUCAGGUCCAUUGAGUCUGUUGUGUGCAAAACUGAAACAAGAACAAAGUAUAAUUUUGUUAGGUCUCGUGCGUGUGGUCAAUUCAUGAUCAGAUUAGACCGGAAAAUCAGAAGGAAGUUGGAGGAGCAAAGGAAACCGAGGCAUAUGUAGCUUAAAAGUUCUAUCGAACUCUCAUCGGGUAGAACUUUAUUUUUAAGACUACAAAAAACGCAAUGCAGAAAGCAAAAUCUUUGGUUGCUCAUUUUACGAAAGACAGUUGAACUUGCAACUCAUUUCGUAAGGUAUAACAUGCAAAAGAAAUUACCCACACAACCAUCAUCACAACAAUAAGAAGAACAAAAAUCUAAAUCUACCAUUAAAAUACAAUACAGAAUUGAAAAAUCCAACAUGUGUGAUACCAGAACAGCUCCUUUUCUCUUUUUUGCCAUUUGCAGUUUCAUUUUGAUAUUCGAGCACUGGUUGCAGCAUUAAUAUUGCAUUCAUCUGAUUUUAACUAGUCUGAACAGAAAGAGUUUGCAAGAGCAAUGGAUGGUGUCUGACUCAUAUCAUGCAAGAAUCAGCAUCUAAUAACAAUCGAGGGCAUAUAGUAGAUGCAUGAUUUACAGGCUAGUGCAGCUACACAAGUGUAAUUCCAGUAGCACCAACUGGGGUAGGAGGAUCACUAAUCACUACCUAUCAACCAAAGUCAUCAACUACUAACUAAUGAUUUGACAAAAGGUAGUCAUUUCAAGAGGUAAAAUUAUACUUAAUGAUGCAGGGAGUGCAUUCAAACCUGCUGCCUAUGAAGCAUAAGCAAAAUUUUAACAUGACGCAAUUGGCUUUUUCAAAAGAAUACUUCCCCUGACAACUAAAGGAAUGAGGCUUAUAUCAACUUUCACCAAUAGAAUGGACAGUUAUACACUGAACCAUUUUCAUAUCAAUGGAUUGCAUAAAGCAUGUCAGAUACUGUAAGACAAAGAACAUCAACAAAGGAAAACAAAUGACGAGAGCACAUACCCUUCCAUAGGAAAGCUUCCAAAGGGGCCAUCAACAGGGAUUGUUCCACAAAGAUCAUUAUUAGAAACAUCACUGCAGCAAUGAGAUUAAAAAAGAUUCACUCAAGUGAAUUCAAGACCAUACUCUUUGAUUGUCUUUUUCUGUUUCUUGGUAAAUAUGAAGGUGACAGCUUGUUUGAUAGUAUUUGAAAAAGAACUUACAAUACUUUAAGGUUGGGGAGGGUGGUGAGUUCCCUUGGAAUCGAACCAGUUAGCUUGUUGUCGUUUAACCGCCUACAGGUUAUAUAACACAGAAAAAGAUUCAAUCUUUGUAACAUAAGUAAAGUACGACCCAGUACAAUACCACUCAGUGGUGUCUGGGGAGGGUAGUGUGUACGCAGNNNNNNNNNNNNNNNNNNNNNNNNNNNNNNNNNNNNNNNNNNNNNNNNNNNNNNNNNNNNNNNNNNNNNNNNNNNNNNNNNNNNNNNNNNNNNNNNNNNNNNNNNNNNNNNNNNNNNNNNNNNNNNNNNNNNNNNNNNNNNNNNNNNNNNNNNNNNNNNNNNNNNNNNNNNNNNNNNAUCCCCAGAAUUUGCUCCUGGGGAGACUCGAACUCACAACCUCUCGGUUGUAAGUGAGGGUUGGUUACCAUCAGACCAAGCCCCUCUUGUCAAUCUUUGUAACAUAAGUGUCUGCUAAAAAUUGUCAAACUCACAAAUCAUUGAAUGACAAUACUUACAAAAACCGAAGAGACUUUAGUUUAGCAAAAGACUUGGGAAUAUUGCCUUCAAAUCUAUUUCCAUAUAGGUCCAUGCUAAUAAGAUUUUCCAAAUUACCCAAUUCCUUUGGGAUUUUGCCUCCUAUGUUGUUCCUAUAGAGUUCCCUGCAAUUCAGGAAAAAGGUUUGCCCAUCACCUUAAAGACACAUAAGAAAGUAGGAAAGUUGCAUAUAAAGAAGCACACAAGAAACUUGAAGACAGAAACAACAUUAAUCAUGUGACAAUAAUCUAUACACAUUUCUUUGUCUAACAAAAGCCCCUUUUCAGUUACUUUUUCCACGGUUUCAGUUCAACCAACAGGAGAUACUAAAGCUGAGACAAGGAAAAAAAACAAGAAAAAGAGGUAAAAAGAGAAAUACAGGUAUUGUAGAUUCUUGAGUUCACCAAGCUCUGGUCCUAAAGUUCCAGAAAUAUUAGUAUUGCCCAAAUCCCUGAAAAUUUUCAAAGAUUAAAAAAAUUAUAUGAAUUGCCAAUGGGGAACACAAAACAAAAGAAAAAAAUCGACAGAAAUAAGAAAAUGAUGUAGAAUCUUACAGGCGAAUAACAUGAUUAUUGGAGUCGCAGGUGAUAUGAAACCAGGUACAAGGAUUAACAAGAGUAGGAUCCCAGCUCUGUAGAACAUUUGCUGGGUCAGAGAGUCUGCUUCUCAAAGCAUGUAGAGCAUUUCCUGAAAGAUGAACACAACAAAAAAUUUUAGGAAGAUGGGUCCAUUUCAAGAUUUAAAUUUUUUUCUGCUUUUAUAUAAGGAUGUUCAUUUCGAAAUUUAACUCAAAUCCCUUGAACUGAAAAAACUGUAUACACUAAUGAAUGAAAAGAAAACCAAAGUGGGGUACACAUGGUAACAAAAAGCUAAAAGCUUUAAACCCUAGGAAUGACAAAAGAAAUACAUGGGGUAAAGUUUUAGUGAAUUUACCUUCAGAAUUUGUGGAGAAAGCAGGGGACAGAGAUAGAAGGAUGGUGAUGAAGAAGAAGAAGAGAAAGGAGGAAGGAAAAUCCAUUGAGAGAGAGAGAGGAGAAAAUUGGUGGAAUUGAGAAGUCAAGAAGUAGGCAAAAGUAGAGGCAGUAAUAGAAGUAGAACCAAUAAGAGUAGAGGUCAAGUCAAAUCUGGAAGCUGUCCUUACUGUUGAGAGUUGUGUUAUUAAGAGAGGAAGUGGAUGAGUGUUCACACUCUCACUGUGAGCUUUUGUGUGCAACAAACUCUCAACCCUCAAGGCCUCAACUGAAAUUUCAAGCUCAAUAAUAUUUCUUAGUUAAUUUUAAACUUUUGUUUCUACCCUAUAAGGCGGAAUUUUUUUUUUAAAAUUAUCUUACAAACAUUUAAGGUGUAUUAGUAGGGAAAAUUUCACAUUAGAACAACUGAGCUUCAUAUUUUUCAAUUUUAUAAUAUGUAUUUCAAUUUACAAUCAACUAGUUCAAAAAUAAUAGGUUAAGAUUCAACAUCCAACUCCUCUCAAAAUUACUAUUUAAUUUUAAAAAAAAAUUUCUCAAGCUUUUAAAUUAAUUUUCAAAUCAGUAACUUUAACUCAAAUAUUAAUUCAACAAAUUAAUUUCAUUUGAACGGUGAAAAUUAGAUUUUGAACAAGUUUAAAUAUGUGGGUUUAAAUUUCGAAUUUGAUUUUGUGAGAAAUUUGAAAUGGGUAUUAUUUAGACUUGUUAGAAAUAAUAGAAAUAGUAUAAGGAUGUUGUAUAUAAAAUUUGAAGUCAUUUAAUGGAGAUUUGGAUUGGUUAUGAACAAGAAUUGCAACUGAAAAUCGUGGAAGUUCGUCUACGUUGUAUAAAGAUGUAUAAAAGUGUAUUUCUAACUGAUAUACAUUAUUAUACAAGAUUAUACAUAAUUAUACAAAAAACUUACUUGGUCUUCUUCCUUAUGUUUUUUCAUGAAAUUUAACUCAAAUCUUGCCCAAAUCUACUCCAAAUCACUUCAAAUUUGAACUCCUUUUGAUUUUCUCAAUCAAUGGGAACACUCAAUCCAAACAACUAACAAAUUAAAAAAAAAUAUUUUCAAAAGCAAAUCUUUGAAUGGUCUUCAAUGGUGGACCUCUAAUCUUCAAUUUUUUUAUAUUGCAAGCAGAUUACAUAAGAGCAGAAGUAGGAAAUACACGGUCCCUUAAAGUAUAUAUAGAAGAUGUGAGAAGAAGAGAUAGUGAAAGCAAUGGUUAACAAAGAAUUAACUUCAUAGCUUUUAGAAGCAAUUGUUGUAAGAACAUAGAUUUUGAAUUUGCUAUUGCUUUCAAAAUAUAUACACUGUGAGCUAGGUAGGUUAAAACUUAAAAACAUGAGUCAUUUUUUGUUAUGGUGUGAAGUCAAAGUGUAUUUUCUUGUAAUUCUUUCUUAUUAAUAUUAAGAACUAACUGGCAAAGGAUGAGGAAAAAACAGAGUGCCAGCUAAAAGACUUCUUUCUUAACUUUAUCAUGUAAUUCUCCACCCUGAAAAGUGUAUUGUAAGUUAAAAGUUGGAUUUUAUUAGUAAGUAAUUUAUAUUUAAUGAUCAUUUUUGGAAAAAGAUACUCUUUAAAGUAGAAAUUAGUCAUUUAGUCCAAACUUUUUAUAGGACCCAAAUUGAUGAAAUCAAAUAAUGAUGUCUCAGUUUCAAAUUGGCUAGAUUUGAUUAUAUAAAUCUUCUACAUUUAUUCCACUAUAUUUGUUCUCUAAAAAUUAAAAGUUAAAAGAAUCUGAUAUUUCUUCCAACACUAACUACAAACGUUUAAUUAGACUAAAUGGCUCAUGCCAAUCAUCAUACUUUGUAAGUGUAUAAACAACUUAAGACUUACUAGUUCGUAUUGCAGGUUCUUUGAGAAAAUUUCCGUUACAUGAUUUUUUUUUCCAAGACCUAAUUUUAAGGCCUACAUAAGGCCAAAACUUUUUUUCCAGCACGAGAUUUUAGAGCAUCGGGUUGCUCUUUUUUCUUUUCUUUUUAUCCUUUAUCUGUGUAAUUACUUACACUAUCCGGAAAUGCAAUCAUUUCUGAUAUUGGCCUUAUCAUGUCACUGGUGAGGAAGCUGACAUAAUCAAAGGCGCAUCUAACAUUUAAAUCCUAUGGAUUCAACUUUUGAAGAUUUAGCAUUGAACUCAUCAUAUAUUUAAAGUUAUGGGUUCAUAUCUACUAUUUUUAUAAUUUUAAUAAACUUUUAUAUAUAAAUUUUUACCCCGCGUCAAAAGUUAUGAGUUUUACCCGUCAAGGAUGCACUACAUCCGCAUCUGGACAUAACGGCUUGAUUCUCAAAAGAAAGUGAACAAGUGUUGCAAAAAAGGGGAUGCAAAGGCACACGUCAAAUAGAUUAUCAGAACAAAUUCAGCCAAGUUAAACUCAUUCAAGUUUACAAAUUCACACUUUGCUUUCAUAACUGCCACAAUAAAAGCAGGUUUGUUACUCCCAACCGAUGAAGACAAACAUCUCUACAGAUUUUACAGCUCACUCAGAAACAAAACAAAAAAGGAAUUUGGGCAAAAGCAUAGUUCUGUACAGAUUUGCAGCACUCUUUCUUUAAAUUGUAACCUUCAGUGACACAUUCUGAAGCAAAACAAAGUAGCAUUCUAACUGUAUUGACCUCAAAAAAGAACAAAAAGUUUCCAUCUAACACGAGACCACUUUACGAGAAUGUACGAAAGCAUGGGAGAAGAAAAGCAAAGAAUUACGAAAUUUCUAAUCUAAAACAGAUCAUAGAUUCUUCACUCUGUCGCACAAGCAUAAUUUCUAAGAAAGUGAAACGGCUCAGAUUUUCAUACUUCCUCCACGGUUCUCAUCCUCUCCUCUUCUUCAGCCUUUUGCCAGGCAGCCUAAGGAGGCAGAAAAAAGAACAUUAUUUUGCAGUAGUUUUGGAGGUUAUAAAUCAGUAUAUAAUGAAUAAAGAAUAGAGCACUUACCUUGUCCCGCUGAAGUCUAGACAUAUGAGGACGCAUAGAGUUCCCCAGACUUAAGCCUCCCCAAGCUUCUUGCAACUCUCUUUCCCUCGUCUCUUUCCGAGUAACUGAAUGUCUUAUCUGAUUAUCAUCCUCCUGCUUAACAGCGGCCAUCUUUUCUCUCUCAAGUCUGGACUUGUGUUUCACCAGAAUUUGAUCCAAACUGCCUUCACUGUUCUCCAUUUGUUUACCAAUGGUGUCCCUCUUCUUUACAUUCAUCCAAUUGUCUUCCUUUGCAUGAAGAGACAUUUUCUCUUUUUCAAGCUUCGAGACGUGCUUCACUAAAAUCUUGUCCAAACUUUCGCAAUCUGUUGCACCAUUAGCUUCAAUCUUUCUUUGACGCCUCUGUGCAACGUAGUCGCUUCUUGUGGAUGAUUCUUGCAUUUUAAGCUUUUGCAAACGAUGAACUGGCUUUACUAGGAUCUUGUCCAGACUAUUCGCUGCUGCUUUGUUUUCAUCCUGGAUUGACAAUGCGCCUGCUGGCUUUGAUGGUUGUUCUCCACAACAAGGAUUUUCGUCCAUAUUUGUAUCAUGAUUUACAUUCUGGUCAACAUUUUCUUUUCCUACCAAUGAGGUAGUCUCAGAUGCAUUGGCAAUCGGUUCUGCAGUGUUUUUCCUAUUUUUUGCUUCUUGAACUUCCUUUUCAAGUCUUGUCAUAUGUUUCACCAGAUAAUCUUCUAGUCUAGGAACUUCCAUUUCAAGUUCCUUUUUUCGACCAAUUGCCACAGUACCCAAUCUGUUCGAAUUAUUGCCCUCUGUUUCACCAUUCUUCCUCUUAGCCUCUUCAAUCUCUUUCUCAAGCUUUGAAGAAUGCUUAAUCAGCACACUGCCAAAGGCAGGAACCUCAGAUGAAUGCUCAUUGCUAUUUGAAGCUUUACAUUUGCUUUUCAACAACACUUCGGAAUUGUUCUUGGCCUCUUCAAUUUCCUUUUCAAAUUUAGAAGAAGGCUUCUUGAGAAUACUUGCCAGAUCAUGGCCUGAAUCUGUUUGGUGUUCUGAAUGAACCACUUUAUCGCCAGAUUUAUCUCGUGUUUGUUCACUUUUUUCCCCAGCUUCACUCCUAGCAUUUUUGGCUUCUAACACCUCCCUUUCAAGUCUUGUUAACCGCUUCACCAGAAACUUAUCGAGGCUCGGAAGUUCCUCAUUUGUCCUGCUUGUCUUCCCAUCCAAAUUAUAUCUGUCAACUGCUCCUUCUCCAACGGAUAAUUCUGAUUUGUCAUCAGCGGCGGACCCUGAAACAUGCGGUUUGAUCUUUUCUGCUUCAGCUAGAGCAGCGUUCAAUCCACACGUUGCAACUAUAGUGGCAAGAGAUGCAAGUUCAUCCUCUUGCAAACAUCUAAGUCUUUCCAGCAUCAUUUCCACAAGAUUUGUCAUAUUGAACUUUUCACAUGCUUGCCUCUUUUUAUAUUUCCUUUGCACAGAUUUUGUCUCGGAAUCUGUGACCUCAGAACAAAGGCUCUCCAAUUCAGAAGCCGUAUCUGAUUCACAUUCUGAAGAGAACUCCGACAGUUCUUGAUGAUUAUCGUCUGUUUCAGGGUUCUGACAUAUUCUGAGUAGCAGUUCCUUGACUUCAUCUUUGUUCAUGGAAGGGCAAUUAGCAAGCUUAAGAAGGGCAGCCUUAAGUGCAGUUGCUACUUGUUUAUCCACCUCAAAUGCAGUUUCAAAAGAUGUUCUAACUGUAUGAGUCGUGGGUCCUCCUCCUUUUGCCGGUGACUUUUCUAUUUUGUAAUGCUUCUGUGAGCAAUCAGGAAUGUCAUACAAGAUCACUCCAAUAGCUGUUGCAGCUUCAAAAGCUUCUGCAGAAAAUUUUUCUGCCUUUAUCAGUACUUGUUCUGCUUCUUUACAAUCAAUCCUGUACGGCAGAUACAGAAGGAGUAAGUUCUAGAAUAUAUAUGAAGAACACUCUAUUUAUUCGAUCGGAUCAACAAUGUCUUAAUCAAUAAGUUAAGACUGGUAAUACAGAUUUUAUGUAUCCAAUUUGCACAUUUUCCUCCAAUACCAAAUACAAAAACAACAACUACAACAACCCAGUAUAAUCUCACUUAGUCGGGUCUGGGGAGGGUAGUAUGUACGCAGACCUUACCCCUACCCUUGCGUAAAGAGGCUGUUUCCAAAUAGACCCCCGGCAUCCUUCCCUCCAAGAACUUCCCACCUUGCUNNNNNNNNNNNNNNNNNNNNNNNNNNNNNNNNNNNNNNNNNNNNNNNNNNNNNNNNNNNNNNNNNNNNNNNNNNNNNNNNNNNNNNNNNNNNNNNNNNNNNNNNNNNNNNNNNNNNNNNNNNNNNNNNNNNNNNNNNNNNNNNNNNNNNNNNNNNNNNNNNNNNNNNNNNNNNNNNNNNNNNNNNNNNNNNNNNNNNNNNNNNNUUCCCUCCAAGAACUUCCCACCUUGCUCUUGGGGAGACUCGAACUCACAACCUCUCGGUUGGAAGUGGGGGUUGCUUAACAUCAGAGCAACCCUUCUUCUUGUCUAAAACCAAAUGCUAAUUAGCAAAUCGAUUUCCUAAAAUUUACACUAAUCCUUAUACAGACAGACAAAUCUCUAAUCAGAAUAAAACAACUCAACUUGUGGCAAACACCAGAUCCAACGUAAGUGUAACGACUACACAUAAACGAAUAUUAAAAUUUAAAAUGCACACCUUGCUGCUUGAAGUAUUCGGCACCAUGAUGUUUCAACAAGCGCAGCCUUCCGAGAUUCCAUAGCUCUUUGAGCAGCUUCUCUUACUGCAAUUUUUUCCCUCAAAACUCUACAAUAGUGGGGAUUAGCAUCCCCCAAAGUCUCAUCAAGUGUUGAGUUCAUUCCGUCAACUUCCUGAAAAUUCAUAUCCAAAAAUCCAAAUGAGAGAAAGUAAGAAGAGCAAAUAAAGUAAAUAACAAUGGCGAUCUUUUUGUUGGCAUAGUGAAGGCCGAAAACACUAUCAAUACUUCUAUAUUGACAAUAAGAAAAAGAUGCACAAACAUAUAAAUACCUGGAGCAUUCUUAUUUUCCUCUUCAAAUAGGAAUCCACUUUCUUGCGAGGGAACCAAUUUAUAGGCGAAGUUUUUCGAUGAGGGGGCUUCCUAAUUUGUGAUGCAGAUUUGUUUAAAGAAACUAAAUUUGACUGGCCACCUUCUUUCGUGGCCUUAGUCUGCACUAUUCCAAAACAACAAAUGAGAAACCAAAACUGAACAAAGACCCAACAAAGCGAACAUCUGAGAAAAUAUGUAUAUAUAUAUAAAACUUUUAAAGUGAAGACUUGAUAUAUCAUACUAUAUGCCUAAAGUUGCAUUUUCAUGAAGCCUACUUAUCAACUGGCUCAGUUAUAACGAAGAGUUAAGUUUCAUCAUUACCGUUAUACCCACAUAAAAAUUUACAUUUUUUAACCAAGUGGCUAACGAUAGAUUAGAAUCAAGAUUAACAUGGGGGGGGGGGGGCCAAAUUAAGACAGUUCUUGAUGAUUAUUGUCUGUUUCAGGGUUCUGACUUAUUCUGAGCAGCAGUUCCUUAACUUCAUCUUUGUUCAUGGAAGGGCAAUUAGCAAGCUUAAGAAGGGUAGCCUUAAGUGCAGUUGCAACUUGUUUAUCCACCUCAAAUGCAGUUUCAAAAGACGUUCUAACUGUAUGAGUCGUGGGUCCUCCUCCUUUUGCCGGUGACUUUUCUAUUUUGUAAUGCUUCUGUGAGCGAUCAGGAAUGUCAUACAAGAUUACUCCAAUAGCUGUUGCAGCUUCAAAAGCUUCUGCAGAAAAUUUUUCUGCCUUUAUGAGCACUUGUUCUGCUUCUUUACAAUCAAUCCUGUAUGGCAAGAUACAGAAAAGGUAAGUUCUCUUUCAAUCAUUAAACAAUUUCUCAAUUACAAACAAGUUAGGAUUGGCUGUAUAAAUUUUAUGUAUACAGUUCGCACAUUUCACUCCAAUACCAAAUAAUUAGCAAAUCAAUUUACUAAAAUUCAAACUUAUCAUUAUAUAGAUAUACAAAUCUCUAACCAGAAUAAAAUACGAUAAGGAGUAGCUAAUUCAAACAACAACAACAAAACCCAGUGUAAUCCCAUGAGUGGAGUCUGCGUACGCUAUCUUGAGAAGGUAGAGAAUAUGUUUCCAAUAGACCCUCGGCACAACGAAAGAUGCAAAAAGAAGCAGUAGCAACAAACCAUAACAUCAGCAAGAUAACAAGAAAACCAAAGUGAAAGAAACAACAUGCAAUACUAGAAAAUCCCGAAAAAUAAGAAUGUACAAGACUUACCUAAUACUACCGGGUUGGAGUAGGAAAACGCACGUUUACCUACUAACCAAAAACACUACUAACCCCUCCGGUAAAAUAAGAAUAGCCCCCAUGUCCUAACCCCCCUUUUCCCAUUAGCAAGAACCUGUUUCAGUUGCAUAUCCUCAAGGAAAAACCGUUUUUGGAGCCUCAAUCUCUGGAUCUAACUUAACUGUAACAAAAACUACGCGUAGGUGAAUAUUAAAAAGCUCACCUUGCUGCUUGAAGUAUUCGGCACCAUGAUGCUUCAACAAGUGCAGCCUUACGAGCUUCUACAGCUCUAUGAGCAGCUUCUCUUACUGCAAUUUUUUCCCUCAAAACUCUACAAUAGUGGGGAUUAGCAUCCCCCAAAGUCUCGUCAAGGGUUGAGUUCAUUCCAUCAACUUCCUGAAAUUACGUAACAGGCCAAAACACUAUCAGUACGUAUCUGUAUAUUGACAGUAAAAAGAAUGCAUAAGCAUAUAAAUAUACCUGGAGCAUUUUUAUUUUUCUCUUUAAAUAGGAAUCCACUUUCUUGCGAGGGAACCAAUUUAUAGGCGAAGUUUUGCGAUGAGGGGGCUUUCUAAUUUGUGAUGCAGAUUUGUUUAUAGAAACUAAAUUUGAUUGACCACCUUCUUUCGUUGCCUUAGUCUGCACAAUUUCAAAACAAAGAAAUGAAAAAACAGAACUGAACAAACACCAAACAAAGCGAACAUCUGAGAAAAAAUUUCAAGUCAACUACAUUCGACAGGCGGUUGUCUUUGAUUGCCUUAUUCUGCAGUUUCUGAAAGCAAGAAAAUGCAAAUGCCAAAGUUGGAAAUAUACCACUCAAAGUGAGCAUUUUUGUGAUUUUGUUUAAAAGUAGUAACUAAAUUUGACUGGCCACCUUCUUUCAUUGCCUUAAUCUGCACUAUGCAUAAAGAACAAAAUGAAAAACCAAAAGUGUAAUAAUAGAAUUAUCAAAGCAAAUAUUUUCAUUUGGCCACAUUCUUUGAUUGCCUUGUCGCGCACUCAUCAAAAAGCAAGAACAUAAAGAAACAACUGAAAUACAGUCAAUAAAGGGUUUUUCUUCCUAAUUAAGAACAAGGGUUUUGAAAACCCCAAAUUAAAAACAAAACCAACUUAUAAACUAACAUAAGGAAAAUUGAGAUAAUAAAUUAAAUUAAAGAGAAUUACUUUCUAAGAGCUGGGGGAAAAAAACCAUGGUACCUUUCCGAGUUUGGAAGUAGCCGUUGUAGAAGCGGAGGGACUGUUCUCCGAAGUAGAAACAGUGUGAUUCAUAGGCUUCUUUUCAAUGCAACCCAUAUCAAAACAACCCAAAUCCAUUCUCCAGAAAAAUUAAUUAAUGGAAAUAGAAUAUUUACUAUGCUUGUAGAAGUAAAAAGAAAACAAUUGAUCAAAUGGCGUUGAGAAUUUGCACUAUUAUCAAGCGCUGAAAUCAGUAGAGCAGAGAGACAGAGAAAUUAGGGCGUUUCUUGAAUAUGAAUUGAUUUCUGAAGACAGAGGGAGUGAAACAAUUGUUGAGGUGGGAUUCUAGGAGGGGGUAUAGCUUUUGAAGGAAACUAUCCGUUACAACCGAUCCUUUCGCUCGCAACGGUCCUUUUUCUUUAUAGUAAAAUUUUUGCUCUUCCCCUUAUACAACAACAACAAUAACUACCAAGUAUACUUUCACCAGGUGGGGUAUGGGGAGAGUAAUAUGUACACAAGCCUUACCCCUACCUAAGCUCUUCCCCUUAUAAUUCAUCUAAAAUUAAAUAAAUAUUUACUCCUAAUAAAUCCAGGGAUUAAAAAAAGAUACUCCUAAUAAAUAAGACAAAGAGUGUGUGAUUAGUGUACUGUUACAAUUUCAUAGUUGUAAUUUCAUGGAAACUUAUAGAAAUAUACCAUAUAAGUUUCAACUUAUCAGCCCGUUUGGCUAAAAAGUUAUUCGAACACUUAAUUAGCUUUAAAACAAUCAAAAAUGAUAUGGGUCAAUCAUAAUCAAGCGUAAUGUGAUCUAGAGAAUGUUAGAUGAUAAAAAUCGGAGAUUAUAAUGUAUAGAUCGAGGUAUAGAGCAAUAAGAUAUAUAACAGGUUUGUUUGUACAAGAGAGAGAGUUGUAUAUUCUCAGUAAGGAAAUACACGUAAGUCUUUACAAAGGGAGAAGGUCCCCUUUAUAUACUAAUGGACCUUCCUUGAAAUAAUACAAAAAAAGGUACAAGAGUUGGUGGCCUCGAUAUAUGAGUGUCAGAGCUUGAUAUGACAUUACAUUGAGUCACAUCACUUGGUCUGUUUAUUGACUGGGACCGGCCUUACUUAAGUCAACCAUAAUAAGGCCGUCUUCUUUAGUAAGGUCGUAUGUGGAUAAUAUGUGGACGUGGGGAACCAAAUUUGUCCAGUACAGAUAGUACUUCCGUUUAUUGGGGACGCAGUCGAAAGGCGUUUCCAAUGGACGGACAUGCAUGCUUGACGCCUAUGGAAAUUUGGUCGUUCCUGUUGAUACCUCUGUGAGAGACGCUUCGUGUGUGAAUAGGACAUGCCGUUGACAUAUUACCUCCUUUUUGGAAUUUCUUUUUGAGGUGACGUCAUCGAACGCAUGCGUGAUCAUCGCGUUCGUGUGUGAAAAGGUCAUGUUGUUGGCAUGUUACCUUGUUUUUGGAAUUUUUUUUUUGAGGUGACGUCAUCGAUCGCAUGCGUGAUCAUUACUUCUGCUCCAGAGGUGGUUCAGGUUAUGAUGUGACGUUUGGGUUUCCUGCGCCGAUUUUUUGAAUCAUGCCCUUUCGAUCUCCGUGUACAUUUUCUUAUAAAUAGGUGGAGAGUUGGACUAGGUUCAUCUUUCGAUCCUUUUCGAAGAGUAUUUCCUCACUCUACCCUUUUCUUACAUCAUUCACUAUGGCUAAACGUAGGCGUGAUGAUAACAGAACCAGGGACGUCACUUCUACUAGGGCUUCGUCAUCCUCGGACGGCGAGGAGGCCUAGGAAGUUUUUAUUCCUCUAUCAACAGCCAACCUGCUCCCACGCGAUUUGAGCAAAAGGAGCGACGUCCUGAAUAAGCGUAAAUUCCUCCCUUGGGAGCAUAGUGAGAUGACGCUGUCCCACUUGGCCUCUCUCAGGGAGACCUAUGAUAUUCCCGAUCACGUUUACAUGGUUCCCGCGGGGCUAGAUUACGCUAACGUGCCUAGGACCGGGUACUGUGCCUUCUACAAAUACGUCUUUGGAAUUGGAUACACCCUACCAAUUUACCGAUCUUGAGGCGGAUCUGGUCUUCGUCGGCACAUCCAGGGGCAGUGCUUUAUAUUCCCGAUCAUGUUGACAUGGUUCUUGCAGGGCUAGAUUACGCUAACGUGUCUAGGACCGGGUAUUGUGCCUUCUAGGAAUACGCCUUUCGAAUUGGAUACACUCUUCUAAUUUACCUUUUAGCGGAGGAGUUGUGUCGCUGGUUUGGAGUGUGUCCGGCCCAACUUACCCCGUAUGCCUUGAAGGUGUGCAUGGUAGUAUCCGUUUACGCGGCAAAGGCCGGAAAAGAGGUGACCGUUCAUCACCUUUUGCAAAUGUUCAAUGUGGUUUUCAUGAGGGGCUCGAUGCUCCAGUUGAGGAGCAGGGGCAAGAAAAGCUUCGUGGCGCAUGUGGAUGACAAGGCCAAUCGUAAAUAUUGGACGAGGUUCUUCUUCAUCCGUACCGAGCACCUUGUGCCCAACCCUAAUGGGUUUCUAGAAGUGUGGAAUGACGCACGUAAGUAUUGUUGUGCGUGAUGUUUACUAUUUUAACCUUACAAUGGAUUUCCAGAAGUGUGGAAUGACGCACGUAAGUAUUACCGUGCGUGAUGUUUGCUAUUUUGACCUUACUUUGCUGGUUCUCGCUGUCGAAAUUCCUUUGUUUUCAUGCAGUGGCUGCUCGCCUCCUCGUAGUGUUGUCGAUGUUAGGUCGUGGGUGCAGGCGCUGAUACCGUUUGCAUAGGAAGCCGUUCUUGGACUGAAUUCCUUAGGCUCCACGGCCCCGCUGGUAACGGUUUUACCUAAUCUUUGUUAUAGUUUGGGGGCCCAUAUAAUUUUCUUACCCGUCUCACAUGUGUUUUGGCAGGUCGGGGCGCCUAUAAGAAGGCGAGGAAGAAGAAGCAGCAGCAGAAGAAGAAGACUGCGGCCGGUCCUUCUAGGACGGUAUCCGAUCCUGAGGCGGAUUUGGUCCUCGCCGGCACGACCAUGGGCAGUGCUUCGCCCCCUUUAAGAUAGGAGGGUACAUUAGAAGCGGCUCCCGAGAUAACAUCUGAGGCCAUGAUGGGGAUUGUACGUGAGACGGCAUCCAUGGAGGUGCUGUCGACUGUCCCUGAGAUUUCCCCCGUAAGGAUGCCUUCUGCCGCGCCAACCCCCUCUGAGCAUGCUCCACACUCUGCAGAAGGGGACCGUGAAGCAUAUGAGACGUUUUAGAGGAGGUGGCAUCAGAUCCUUACUGGCAAAAACGUGUCCAACUAGUCGGGAAAGGCUAGGCCAUCUUGCCCUGUAUCAAGGUCGACUUUUAUGGCAGAGUUUAUUCGCUCAAGAAGAGCUUAUCUUAGGAGGGAGGCCGCGGCGAGGAGAAGUGAAGACAUAGAUGUGGCGAGCUCGGGGGAAGCCACGGAGGGCGCAAAUAGAGGCAGCGGGCCCUUGGAUCGGGUGGAGAUGAUGGACGGCCAAUCUUCUCGUCGUAUAGUGAUCCCAAGGCACUAUAAUUUGCUGGAGAACUGCGAGGAGGCAGCCUCCAGCAUGACGCUCUUGUGCGCUGGUGCCGAGCGAGCGAUCCUGGCGGAGCUUAGUGAUAAAACCUUGGCCAAAAGGGUGGCAGGCGCGGCCCUACAGGUAUGCCUCUGCCUUGGUUGAUGACCUUUCUUUAUGUAGGGUUAUGAUUUUCCCGUGCUUACUUGGUCUCUUUUCCAGACUCUUGUCUUGGAGGUGGAGAGGGAUCGGCGCCGGAAAGAGAAGAUGGCCAAAUAUAACCGUUCUUGUGUGCCGGUGCCGAGCGCGCGACCCUGGCGGAGCUUAGUGAUAAAGCCUUGGCCAAAAGGGUGGUAGGCGCGGCUCUACAGGUAUGCCUCUGCCUUGCUUGAUGACCUUUCUUUAUGUAGGGUUAUGAUUUUCCCGUGCUUACUUGGUCUCUUUUCCAGACUCUUGUCUUGGAGGUGGAUAGGGAUCAGCGGCGGAAAGAGAAGAUGGCCAAAUACAACCGGCUGUCGCAGAAGUACAAUAAGGCGCGCGAGGCGCAUCGAACCAUGGCCGACAUGUACAAGCAGGACCCCAACUUUAGAGUGGUUCGUGAGGGACUAAUGGAGUCCGAGGUGCAACUGAAGAAAAGAGUGGCCGAGCUGGAAAAGGUGGAUGAACAGCUCAUGGACACUGUUGCUCGGGCCGCGAAGAUGGAGGUCCUUAUCCAAGCCAAGGACGAGGAGCUACAGCUCGGUCGUGUUGUGGCGGAGGAGGCGGCAGAAUUGAGCACCCGGUGGUGGCUCUAACAGAGGAACUCAAAGCCACGAAGGCCGAGGUAGAGGAGCUUAAGCUAGCUCUCACGCAAGCCGAUACGUCUCGUGAGGCGCAUGAGAUGUUGGUGUAUGCGGAGGCCAGGUUGGUCGUGUUUGAGGAAUUCCUGGCGGCUGGUCGAGCGAUUGAAGCGGAGGUUGAGAACUAGCGCCAACUAGUUAGAGUCGCUCAUGAGGCGGCGGGCUACGGUCCUGAAUCACCGGCCCGGGAGGGGGGCAACUCAGCAGAUAUCAAUCGCUUGGAGUCCAGCUCUUGGAUUUCCAGGGCGUACCCUCCCGGAAAUAAGGGCGGGCUCCCUCAGGGCCAGGUCGGGCUAGAUAAGUAGUGGUUUCUUAGGGUCUUUGUAAAUAUACUUGUUCAAAUGGAUUUUUGUAUCAGGGGUGCUUGUUCCCCUUUGUGAAAACAUAUAAUUUUUGUUGGAAGUAAUAUUUUCUACAUUUUGGCAUGUCGUCGUACUUUUCUUUACCGUAGCUGCUUGGAAUUUGGCGGUCAUAGCUGUGUAAAGUUAGCAUGAUGACUUUAGCCAUAUAAAAUAGGCGGCCGUAGCCUUGUGAAUACGAUGGCUCUAGCCAUAUACGGAUAAAGGCCGUAGCCCGAUGAAAAUGAUGGCCAUAGCCAUGAAAAAUAAAAGUCGCGGCCUGAUGGCCUUAGCCAUAUAAAAUAAUGGUCAUAGCCGCGUAAAAUGAAGGCCGUAGCCUAAUGGCCUUUGCCAUAUAAAAAGAUGGCUCUAGCCAUGUAAAAUAAAGGACGUAGCCUGAUGGCCUUAGCCAUGUAAAAUAAAGGUCGUAGCCUGAUGGCCUUAGCCAUAUAAAAUGAUGGCCAUAGCCAUGUAAUAUAAAGGCCUUAGCCAUGUAAAACGAUGGCCAUAGCCAUGUAAAGUAAAGGCUGUAGCCUGAUGGCCUUAGCCAUAUAAAAUGAUGGCCAUAGCCAUGUAAAAUAAAGGUCGUAGCCUGAUGGCCAUAGCCAUAUAAAAUGAUGGCCAUAUCCAUAUAAAAUAAAGGCCGUAGCCUGAUGGCCUUAGCCAUAUAAAAUGAUGGCCAUAGCCAUAUAAAAUAAAGGUCGUAGCCUGAUGGCCUUAGCCAUAUAAAAUGAUGGCCAUAGCCAUGUAAUGUAAAGGUCGUAGCCUGAUGGCCUAAGCCAUAUAAAAUGAUAGCCAUAGACAUGUAAAAUAAAGGCCGUAGCCUGAUGGCCUUAGCCAUAUAAAAUGAUGGCCAUAGCUAUGUAAAAUAAAGGUCGUAGCCUGAUGGCCUUAGCCAUAUAAAACGAUGACCAUAGCCAUAUAAAAUAAAGGCUGUAGCCUGGUGGCCUUAGCCAUUUCGUUCAUUUGGAGAUGGCCAUAGCCUUUUCAUUCAUUUGGAAAUGGCCUUAGCCUUUUCAUUCAUUUGGAGAUGGCCAUAGCCUUUUCAUUUAUUUGAAGAUAGCCGUUGCCUUUUUAUUCAUUUGGAGAUGGCCGUAGCCUUUUCAUUCAUUUGGAGAUGGCCAUAGCCUUUCAUUCAUUUGGAGAUGGCCGUAGCCUUUUCAUUCACUUGGAGAUGGCCGUAGCCUUUCUAUACACUUGGAGGUGGUCGUAGCCUUUCUAUACACUUGGAGAUAACACUAGUCCAGUCCCUGUAUCAUGUCGGGCUUGGAGUGUUCAUGGAGAGGCGGACAUGAUGCACUCGCGCUACAAACAUCUCCAGGUGACCCCUUCGCCGCCUCGUUAAAAAUCUGCCCGAGAAAAUCCAAUUUGGACAAAACUCGGGUAAGUGCUACAAACAUCUCCAGGUGACCCCUUCGCUGCCUCAUUAAAAACCUUCUCGAAAAAACCCAAUUGGGACAAAACUCGGGUAAGGGAAAAAGUGUACAACUCAGGUGUCGCCUUUUUAGAAGUGGAAACGUUUUAGGUGAGGGACGUUCCAGUUGUUUUGGAGUGUCUUUCCUUCCAUCGUCUCUAGAUGGAAUGAUCCUUUCCCGGCCACCGCUGUGAUUUUGUAGGGUUCAUCCCAGUUUGUGCCCAAUUUUCCUUCACUCAAGUCUUUUGAGGCAAGAGUCUUGGCUUUGAGGACGUAAUCCCCUACUUUGAGCGGCCAUAUUUUUGCCCUUUUGUUGUAGUAUCUUUCGAUUUGUUGAAUUUGGGCUACCAUUCUGACGUGGACCAUUUCUCUUCUUUAUUCGGCCUUAUCAAGAUCUUGGAGCCUGCCGAUAUCAUUUUCCGAUCCGCUAGUGUGUGAGUACCUUAAGCUAGGUUCGCCCACUUCGACAGGUAUGACCGCGUCGGUUCCAUAAACCAGUGAGUAUGGGGUUUCUCCGGUGCUGGAUUUGGGCGUGGUUCUGUAUGACCACAAGACUUUGGGUAGUAGCUCGGGCCAUAGUCCCUUGGAAUCUUUGAGCUUCUUUUUGAGUGUGUUCAGGAUUAUUUUGUCGGAAGACUCCGCUUGACCGUUGGCGGCGGGGUGGUAUGGCAUGGAUAGUAUUCUUUAGAUGCGCCAUUUUUCGAAGAACUCAGUCGUUUUCUGACCGAUGAAUUGGCGCCCAUUAUCGCAGCUGAUUUCUUUGGGGAUGCCAAAACGACAUAUGAUGUUCUUCUAAAAAAAUGUGAUGACAUCCUGCUCGCGUGUUUGUGCGUACGCACCUACUUCCACCCACUUAGAGAAAUAGUCAGUUAAAACAAGUAAAAAUCAUACCUUUACUCAUCCUGGGGGUAGCGGGCCGACUAUGUCCAUCCCCCACUUGAUGAACAGCCAGGGGGAUGUGACAGAAUGGAGGGGUUCUCCUGGUUUGUGUAUCAUCGGGGUGAACUUUUGGCACUGCUCGCAUCGGCGGACGUAUUCUACUCUAAGGGCAAGUUCAUCAAAUCGGCCAGUCGACACGGUCUCUGGGUCAAUAUAAUAAAGGGACUACACUAGUUAACCCUCUAUUGUAAAGACAAAAUUCUCCAUUACGUGAAUAGAAAUCUCCAAUUGUAUAAAACGGAAUUCGCUAAUAAAUAAACAUCAACAACGGCUAAGGCCAUCAAUAAUGGCUAAGGCCAUCGAUAUAGGUUCAGCCUCAUCCGAACUGCGAUGGAUAUACCAUCGACAAAUGGCUAAGGCCAUCAACAAAGGCUAAGGCCAUCGAAAUAUGUUCGCUCUCGUCCGAACCACGACGGAUACUACUUCAACGACACUUGAAGUACUACCGAUAAUGGAUAAGGCCAUCAAUAAUGGCUAAGGCCAUCGACUUAGGUUUGCCCUCAUCCAAACCACGACGGAUACAUCUUCGAUGGCAGUCGAAGCAACAUCCUAAUGGCUAAGGCCAUUUACAUAGGUUCACCUUCGCCUGAACCACGACGGGUACUACUUCGAUGACCAUUGAAGUACCAUCGACAAAUGGCUAAGGCUAUCGACAUAUGUUCCACCUCGAUCGAACCACGACAGAUACUAUUUCGGUGACAGUCAAAGCAAUAUCAAAAUGGCUAAGGCCAUCGACAUAGGUUCGACCUCGUUCGAACCACGAUGGAUACUACUUCAACGAUACUCGAAGCAAUAUCCUAAUGGCUAAGGCCAUCAAUAAUGUCUAUGACCAUCAAUAAUGGUUAAGGCCAUCGACAUAGGUCGACCUUGUUCGAACCACGACAGAUACUACUUCAAUGACACUCAAAGCAAUAUCCUAAUGGCUAAGGCCAUCAAUAAUGGGUAAGGCCAUCGACAUAGGUUCGACCUUAUCCGAACCACAACAGAUACUACUCUUGACGAACGUCAAAGCAACAUCCUAAUGGCUAAGGCCAUCGACAUAAGUUCUCCCUCGUCCAAACCACCGCGGGUAUUACUUCGACGAUAGUCGAAGUACCAUCGACAAAUGGCUAAGGCCAUCGAAACAGUUUGACCUAGUUCGAACCACGACGGAUACUACUUCGACGACAGUUGAAGCAAUAUCCUAAUGGCUAAGGCCAUCAACAAGGGCUAAGGACAUCGAUAUAUGUUCGACCUCGUUCGAACCACGAGUGAUACUACUUCGACGAUAGUCGAAGCAAUAACCUAAUGUCAAAGGCCAUCGACAUAGGUUUGCCCUCGUCCGAACCACGAUAGGUACUACUUCGACGACAGUCGAAGUACUAUCGACUAACGGCUAAGGCCAUCGACACAGGUUCAGCCUCGUUCGAACCACAACAGAUACUACUUCGACGGAAGUCGAAGCAAUAUCCUAAUGGCGAAGGCCAUCGACAUAGGUUCGGCCUCGUUUGAACCAGGAUGGAUACUACUUCGACGAGAGUCAAAGCUAUAUCCUAAUGGCUAAGGCCAACAUCGGUCUGAUCUUAUUCGAACCACGAUGAGGCCCUUGUAGAAAAUAAAGCAGUAAGUGGACAAAGCAAAAAAGAAGAAACUUAUAUUACAACAAAAAUAUAUUUAUAUUCGCCCCCAUGAAUGGGCUCUCAUACAUUCCACAAGCCAAAAUAUAUAUAUAUAUAUAUAAAGUACAAAAAUAUACAAUUGCUCGUCACCACUGGAGGAUGAAUGUCAUUGUACCAGGAUUCCGAGUCGAGGUGAUUAACAUCCCCAGAAAUGGAGUCCCCCCAUCAGGAGAGUCGAGGUAGUACCAACAUGACUCACGAGUAGCACGAGCCUCGUUCCGCCUGGACUAAACCUCCUCCUCCGUCGCCCGGCCGUCAGCAUGAAGGUCUUUAUAUCCAUCGAGUUUGGCCUCCUCAAAGACCCACAUCUCAUAUGCGCUGCGGCGUGGGCUACGACCGGAUGAGGGAAGAGAUGAGGAGGGCUGAGAAAUAUGGCCCACUUCUUCUAACUUCAGGGGAGCGACCUGCCCUUGCAAUUCUGCCACUUUGUCGGCACUGACACUUAGCUAUCCCCUAAGUCCAUUUAUUUCUGUCACCCUGGCGUCGAGAUCGGUGGUCAACUCAGCCACCUUCCGUUGUUGGUCGACGUUCUCCGCCGCCACCCCACGGCUCAGCUCGAGUUCGUCAUCUUUCGCCCUAAGGAGCGUCUUCACUGUUGCAGGCCACAACUCUCAUUAACUCACUAUCCGCCUCCACCAGCUCAGCACGCUUGCGCUCCAACUAGGCCUCCCUCUGCUCGAGCCCCUCGCAAAACACUCGGAACUCGGGGUCCUGCUGAUAUAGGUCGACCAUUGAUUGAUGCUUAGAGUGAUAUUUUCGACACUUCUUCAGCAUCUUCUUGAAGAAGUUUGUCCUCUUUUGCUGACGGCGUCCCCUCUCCACCUCCGAAAUAAGGGUAUGAAAAGAAAACAGAAGUAAUCACGCUUUCAGGGCAAACCUAUGAUACACAAGGAAAGAAGAGGAGGAAAUAAUACCUAUAAAGCCAUGCCGGCUACUCUUCAUGAUAGCUCCACAUCGGUCACGGUACUGAGCGUCCCACUCCCAAGGGCAGUACAUAGCAGGGUAAGGGCUGAUGCGCCCUGCUCGGUGUUCAGCAGCAAGUUGUAAGCCCCCAGAAUUGUGAUACGAUGGUUGGACCAAUUCGUCAUCAUUUCUACGUGGGUAUGCCCACCUACGAACUCGCCUACAUCUUGCUGGGUGACGUCCGAAUCCGGCUUCGCCCCCUUGUCUGUUCCUAUGCCACUAUUCGACGGCCCCCCUUUAGCGACACUCACUGAACUUGUAUUGGGAGAGACCCUACUUUUCUGAGUCGACCUCCUAGAUCGAAUGGCGUCGGCCAUAAAUACAUGCCUCGGCAUCACUUGGGGCGACAUAGCAUCAUCGACUUCAGUAGUCACCCCUUCCCUGUCUCCAACCUUCUAUGUUUCAUUUCCACUGGCUCUUCACCGUCUGAAGGUUCAUCGACGGGCUGUAAGGCUGGCGCAGGUAAUGCCGGCUCAGUCAUAGCCGCAGCCGGGGAUGUAGUCCCUUGUUGGAAAGAUAGAGGGAGACCUUCCCAAACCGACUCGCACAACAUACCACGGGCAUCUUGGGCGAUGUCAGACCCCACGAAAGUAGGGGCCGAGGCCCUCCGCCUAGAAGUGCCUCAACUUAUUGCUAGGAAAAUACACGUGAGUGGGAUUACAAAAUUCACAAGGUAAAAAUUAACAAUCUACCCGAAGAGACUUUGGGGUUGUAGCGCUACAUGAAGGCGGUCCACGUGUGGGUCGCUUCAGCGUGGCGUAACAUGCCAGCAGCUCACCUCUUAAGACCGGUAACGUGCUAAAGUUGAUGAGCGAUGCCUAUAAUGCAAGAGUUAGAAUCACACCAACAACAAGUAACAAGAAACUUGACAUGUUGCAAUACUUACGUGACGAAUUCCACCUCUCUUAAAAUUUGGAAGGGUUAAAGACCAUGUGUUCGGUCCUGAUGAAGAAAUAUUUAUGCCAUCACCCACGACGUGCUUGGUUGUCAGUUUCGACCACCAGACCUCUCGUACCACGGCUUAUCAAGUGCACCAUGGUACCUCUCAGAUAACUGGCGUUAAAUAAUUGCAAGAGGUGGUGAAUCGAGACUUUGUACCCGGCCAACUCCGCUUACUUAGUUAGUAGCAGAAGCAUCUUCAAGGUAUAUGGCACGAGUUGUGCUGGGCAGAUAUUGUAAAAUUGGCAUAGCUCCUCCACCAAAGGAAACAAAGGGAUACCAUAACCUAUCCAAAAGUGGUACUCAUAAAAGGCGCAGUACCCCAACUUGUGGGUAUCUACAUGCCCCCCUGCAGGAACCAUCUAUACGUGAGUGGGUUUAUCGUACUUAGCAUGGAGAUCCUCUAAGUGCUUCUAUUGUGAUUGAGAAAUCACCAGUGCCGGAACAGGUGCAUCUUUGUUGAAGUCACUCCGAGCGAAGGAUUUUUUGGGAGUAGGGCCUCUUCUUCCUCCAUCUCUCCACCAUAUGAGAAAGGUGGCACGUUAGAUGGAGCCUCCGUCAGGAUCCUCUCAUCAUCUCGGUGAGGUUUAGACAUGAUUUUGCUUAGGAAAAGAAUUUUGCACAGCUCAGUGAAGAAGAACCUUCCGACUAACGGCAGAAGCGAACAAGGAGAAAAUGUGAACUGAAGGGUUGGGGUGCUCUUACAAAUGACGAAAUUUUGAACCAAAUCAAACCCUUCCCCUAUUUGUAAGGUUGGGUGUCAUCGGAAUCAAGGCGUAAGACUUCAAAUAAAUGCGGGAAACCAAGCUGCAAAGAGUCUAUUUUCCUUCCUCGAGAACAAGUGCUAUGAUGACGCAUGUGAAUGCUGACGUCAUACUAGGGAAGGCGUUUCGUUUUGGCGCUCUGAUAGUUAUAAUUGUUGUCUCUCAACGGUCACGUGGUCUCUCUUUGACAAGUCAAACUCUCCCUGAACGGAGGCGUUGAUUCCGCCCAUCGAGGAUGCAUCCCGCUGCGACCCCGACAAGCGGAGGAACUAACUGUAUAGGGUCGAAUUUGACCAAUCACAUCCCUAAGUCACCACGACCAAUUGAUGACUACACACAAGUCGUGGCAACAUGACGACCUAAGAAUCAUAAGAACAACGACCUCGUAGCCUUGUCGUCCCCCCUCCUCCCCCCAUCUCCCUCUGACACAUUUUAUCUCUGUCUUUUCAUACAUAAAUGAGGAUCCCCUUACUAUAUAAAGAGGAUCUAUGUUGUGUAAAGGCAGAUCUUUUUUGCUUAAUAGACAAGUUCUCUCUCUAUCUCUCUCUAUGCCUUCGUCUCAACUACCAUUGUCGUUAAUCUGAUCAUAAAACGUAUUCUAUGGUUUAUUACUUUCGAUUACGAUUUAUCCUUUCAUCUCUUUUGAUUGAUUUGUUUAAAAAGUAUUUACAACGUUUGAGUCAAACAGAUAGAAUGAGAGAAAAAAUAAGAAAAUAACGCGACUACACUAAAUCGAUCGUUCCAUACAAUGUCACUUUUCAUUGUUACACAACGACAGAUUUAACGAUACGAUACAAUAAAAUUUAAGUAACAAUCAAAAUAAAUAGUUAUGUUAAUCAUCCAAACAAGUUGUUAACGUACACGUAUUAUAUUGCGCGCAUAUCUUGUUACAAUGAGUAAUUUUUAGAAGUCAUAUAAAUAUUAUAGUAAAAAUUAUGUCUGAGUUACUAUAAAAUAAGAAUUUAAGAACAUGAAAUUGAUAAAUAAAGAAUUUGAGUACGGUAAGAAAUUUAAUUAGAAUAAUUUGAUCAUAUCAAAUUCUUUACACAAUUAGGAAUGAAAGAGAAUAAAAGCUUUUAAAGAAGAUAUUUCAUGUAUGUAAUAUAAAAAUUAAUUAUUUAGGAUAGAGGUAUGCUUAUAAUAUAUAUUAUAUGCGCUUGAAAAAUUUGCUCAAUUAUUUUGUUCCAACAUUAUAUAGGCCUAAAUACUAUUUUCUCAUUUUUUUUACUUUAGAAUAUGUAAGAUUUAAUUAUUCUAUACGUAAUCUUGUUAUAUAUAUAUAUAUAUAGAAAGAGAAAAAAUUAUAAUAUUAAAAAGGUAUUAGAAAGUUUAUAAACUUAAAGGGUAGAAAAGGUAUUUGUUCAUCGAAAAUUUGAGAAAUCUAGUUGAGUGAGCUUUUAAGUGCUAUAAAAAUAGUUAAAGUGACUUUUUUUUUUUUACAAACAAAAAGAAAAUAACUUUACUAGGUAAUUUCAAAUAAUUAAAUGACCAUCUGAAUAAUGAACUCAUUCAUUACAAAAGUCAAAUUUUGCUCAGAACCGAUUUUUAUAUUAUGAUAUAAUAUAUAUUAUUGUAAUAACACUUUAUUAUAGCAGCAAAAAAAUAUCGAAAUAAGCGAGGCUAAUUUGACUGUAUUAUCAUAUGCAUUUGAUUAUUUACUCUUUCAAAACAUACAUAGAGUGGAUUGCUUAUGAAACCAUGUAAUUAAUAAUACAUUAUUUUUUCACUUAUCUUAUGAAGUAGUAGUAUUUAGUAGUAGUAAGAACUGGUCAUUUUUAGAAAAGAAAUCUAAAGAGAUUUCCUCUCUAUCUAACUAGCUAGUUUCAUUUGGCCUUCAAUCAAUAGCGAUGCCUAUAAUUAGUAAAGUGAUGGGCAAUAGGAAAAUCAGGAUCAGGUUUGUCAACACCAUCUUCACUCCUAAGCCAAUAAGUCUGAGGAAGAGAGGCUGCACCAUUUGGUAUGUCAUCCAUUACUCGUUCUUGUCCUACUGGAAAGUAUAUUCCUGUUCGAGGAUGUGGCAUCCACCACGUCGACCCUUUCAUUAUCUCCUCAUCUUCGUCUUCCUCCUCAUUCCUCCAUAUUUCCUCCCUCCCUGAAAACGUACUGCUCAUCCUACGUUUAAUUUGCUGCAUUUGCUGUGACCUGCAUCAAUCAUUCUAACCUUUUUAGUCACACUCACAUGUAUAUAUGUAUACGAGAUAUGAUUAAUUUUAACCUGACUUUUUAUCAGUUAUAACAGGUAAAAAACGGUUCUAUUAUGCUCAGGUAGAUCUUAGGGGUGGUUAAGUCGGUAAAUAUUUGGCUAUGCUUAUUGACGAUAAAAGCCACCUUGACAUUCUAACUUAUUUGGAAUGCCUACUUGGCUUUCUGGUCAAAUUUAAUGAGUUUUUUCCACCAUAUUUAUGUUCUGCGAAUAACAACAACAUACUCAGUAUUAUCCCACAUCGUGGGGUAUGGAGAGGGUAAUGUAUACGUAGACCUUAUCCCUAUCUUGUGAGGAUAAAAAGAUUGUUUUCAAUCGACCCUCGACUCAGAAAAGCAUAACCAUCACAUUAAUGAAAAUAUAGACAAGAAGGGACCAUACUAAAGAACUAUAUAAAAUCAAAAUAAAAACAAUAAUAUAAUAAGGUGAUAAAAAAAGAGACAAAAUUAGUUUCAUGGCUUUUAUUAAAAGGAAUCGUAAGUUGGAAAUAAUUUGAGAAAUCCAAUAAUAAUUUUCUUGACCUUCCAUUUCUUGUUUCCUUUUCCUUUUCUUGACCUUCCAUGUCGUGCUAUAUAUAUGUAUGUAUAUAUUCUCUGCUAGCAUUUGUGAAUGAUUUAAGAUUAAAGAGCUAAUAAUAAUAGUACCACUAACUAAGAUAGCAAGAUGCAUAGGGAAAAAAAUAAUACUAAGCAAGCCAAUUGAGAGAACAAGAAAUAAGUACUCUAACCUAAUUAAUCGUAAUCUCUGUGGAAACGUAGUGAUUCCAGCUGCAGUUAUAGGCAUCUGUUGCAGUUGAUAAACCGAACUAGAAAGAUGUAGCAAUGUAAUAUUUGUAGGGUAUUAAUGCUUAUAUAUAUACAGGAGAAAUUAAUUGACAAACUAUAUUUCAAGUGUUAUGUGGAAGGAAAAGAAUAUGAUUCUGUGCUACUCUAGGGUGAAGGUUCCUAAUGAAGUUUGCAACUCUCGAAAGCCGCAAAAAAAGUAAUAAAGAAAAGGUACUUUUCUAUGUGCUUAUUUGUUAUCUCGUCAUUUUUUUUUGUUAUGAUAAAGUACAAGUUUAAUUCUUUACAUCUUGUACUUUCUUUAACCGUUUGGACAUCCAUGUUUUCAAUUUUAGGUAUUAUUAUUAUUAUUAUUAUUAUUAUUAUUAUUAUUAUUAUUAUUAUUAUUAUUAUUUGCACAUCAAUAUUUGCUUUACUGUGACGACCCAAAGGGUCAUCACCGUGAUUCUCCCUUUUCUUGUGCUUUCGAGGCCUUGAAAAUCUCUUAUUUGAUUGCCUCGAUUUCCGGGCGCGAAGCCAAAAAUUUUUAUGUGGAAAUAUAUGAAAUAUGUGUUAAAAACUAUGAAUUUUGAUAAAAAUAUUGUUAUAAUUGACUUUCGUCAAGAUUUUGGGUAAACGGAUUCGGACUAGUGAUGUGACGGUCCCCGAGGGUCCGUAGAAAAAUAUGGGACCUGGGCGUAUUCUCGGAAUCGAAAUCCGAGGUCCCAGGCCGAUUACGAAAUUUUUGAAAGAAAUUAUUUAUCUGUAAUUUAUAUGAGAAAUUGAAAUGAAAAUAAGUUAGAAAGUGAUGGUAUCGGGCUCGUAUUUUGGUUCCGACGUCCGGUACGAGUCUUAAAUGAGCUUAAGCGCUAUCUGUACAGUUUGAUUUAAAAAGGACGUCAUUUGAUGUAUUUCGGACUAAAAAUGAAUAAUUUGGAAGUUAUGAACUUUGAAAUGAAAAAUCUUGAGUUUGGAGGCUUGAUUCUAUGUAAAUGAUAUUAUUUUGGCGAUUUGAUCGCACGAGUAAGUCCGUAGGAUGUCUUUGAGGUUGUGUGUAUAUUUGGGUUGGAGCCCCGAGGGCUCGGGUGAGUUUUGGUUAGGCAUCGGACUGCAUUUCUCAUGUUUUGGAAAUUUCUGGUAUAAGGCUUCUGCAAUUUUCGCAAAUGCGAAGCCAGGGAUCGCAAAUGCGAAAUGAGCCAAGGAAGGCCAAAGUUCGCAAAAUCAAACUUUUCUUCGCAAAUGCGAGGAAGAGGAGUUCGGCUUGAGAUCGCAAAUGCGAACCUCCCCCAUAUGGCCUAACUUCGCAAAUGCAAUGAAACAUCUCGAUCCUGCCCAUGUCCUGCCUUGUUCGCAAUUGCGAACAAAUCCUCGCAAUUGCGACAUCCGCCAUUCCUUCUGUUGCGAACAAAUCCUCACAAUUGCGAUAUCUGCAUAUGUGCAUUCUAUACUUAGACGGUUUUAAACCUCAUUCUUCAUAUUUUCAAAACACAAACCUCUAUUGACGAUUUUCUCUCAACUCCUUCUUUCCCCAAUCAAUUGUAUGUCAACUUUUACUCAAUUUCUUCAAUCUUUAACAUCUUUUAUCAUGAUUUCAUCUUAAAAUCAAAGCUUUCAAUGGGUAAAAUUGGGGAUUUGGGGUAGAACCUAGGUUUUCUUCAAAUUGGGGAUUUGCACCUCAAUUUGGGGUCCGAUUUCAAAACAAAUUGCACAUAUGAACUUGUGGGGGAAUGGGUAACCCAGUUUUGGUUCGAACCUUGAGUUUUGACCACGUGGGCCCAAAGACAUUUUGGUAAUAUUUGGGUAAAACUUUGGAAAUUUCAUUCUUAUGCAUUCAAAUUGAUUUAACUAGCAUUUGUUGCACGUGGGCACGGGGGGAAUUUUGGGAAUCUUUGGGUAAAACUUUGAGAAAUUCAUUCGUAUGCAUUCAAAUUGAUUUAACUAGCAUUAGUUGAUACAUUUGAGUAAAUUGUCAUUAGAUUCGACCGGGCUUGAGGCGAAUUCGAGGGGUAAAGCUAUCCUAGAGGUGUGAGUUGAGUUUGGAAGCUUUCGAGGUAAGUAUUUGAUCUAGCUUUGGCUUGAGGAAAUAGUAUUAGGACAAUAUUUGCUAUUUGCUAUGUGGAGUCGGUGUAUAGGUAUUACCUAUGCGCCCGAGUCAAGCAUGACCGUGAGUCGUAAUUGCUUUUAAAUUUGAAAGAGGUGAAACAAUUGAGUUAAUUAAUUGUUAAAUGAAUUAUGAAGUGAUAGUUAAGAAGCAAAUGAGUUAAAGAAGGAAGUGUGGUACUUUUCCCUUGCCGGGACUUAUUGUUAUAUUGUUCUCCCUUGCCGGGACUUAUUGUUAUAUUGUUCUCCCUUGCCGGGAUGAUUAAUCUUGUUGUAUAUUCCUUUCCCCGAUUGGUUGUGGCCGUUGAUUGGGUGAGGAAGAGAGAUUGUGCAUGAAGUGUCUUUCCGUGUCGUGUUUUGAUAAUUAUGCGCGAAGGGUCUUUCCGUGCCGUGUUUUGAUAAUUAUGCACGAAGGGCUUUCCGUGUCGCGUUUUGAAAAUUAUGCAUGAAGGGUCUUUCCGUGCUGUGUUUUGAUAAUUAUGCACGAAGGGUCUUUCUGUGUCAUGUUUCUUGAUCAUUUGAGCAUGAAGGGUCAUUCCGUGCCUUGAUGUGAGAGUUAUAUGAGGAAAGCACGAAGGGUGAUGCCGUGCACUAUAUUUGACAGUUUUGGUGAGGAAAUCACGAAGGGUGAUGUCGUGCACCAUUUGAGAGUAAAAGCACGAAGAUUGAUGUCGUGCAGUUGUUGAUUCACUGUUGUGGUCUUUCCGUGCUAUGUUUUGAUAAUUAUGCACGAAGGGUCUUUCCGUGCUAUGUUUUGAUAAUUAUGCGCGAAUGGUCUUUCCGUGUCAUGUUUCUUGAUUGUUUGAGCACGAAUGGUCAUUCCGUGCCUUGAUGUGAGAGUUAUAUGAGGAAAGCACGAAGGGUGAUGCCGUGCACUAUAUUUGACAGUUUUGGUGAGGAAAGCACGAAGGGUUAUGUCGUGCACUAUAUUUGACAAUUUUGGUGAGAAAUGAGACUAAAAGCACGAAGGUUGGUGCCGUGCAGUUGUUGAUUCACUGGCUUUCUUUUAUUGAUGUUAAUUAAUUGAUUAUCUUGGUGAGGACGAGGGUAAAUGCACAAUGGGCGGUGCCAUGCAAUGGUUGAUUUACUGGCUCUCUUUUAUUUUUGUUAAAUGUUCGGUUUCCAUUUCUUGUUCGUUGGACUUAUAAUUGAACUGUUACAUCCCCCAGCAUGUCCCCUCCCCAUUAGCUAUUUAAAUUUUGUUAUCUUUUCGUUAUUGCACAUAUAUUUGUACAGGUUGUUUGUGGUAGGUCCGGUCCAGCCUCAUCACUACAUCGCCGGGGUUAGGCCAGGCACUUACCAGCACAUGGGGUCGGUUGUGCUGAUGCUACACUUCUGUGCCUUUUUGUGCACAGGCCAGGAGACAACUUACGAAUUGCAGUAGUAGUUUGGGAGCGUGUCUUCAAUCGAGAGACUCCCAGGUAGUUCGCUGGCAUUCGCGGGCCCCGAGUCUCAUCCAUCCCGGUUCUGUUUGUUUUCAUUAUAUCGAGAUAGACUUUUUAUGUAUUUUCUUUCAGACCCGUAUUUAUAGCAUCUCAUAGUAGUUCAUGAGUAUUGUGACACUAGAUCUUGGGUAGAGGGUGUUGUCUAUCUUUUCGCAUUUUCUUCAUUUGAUAUUAAAUUAAGACUUUCGCUUGAAUUUAUUGUUUUUUAUUAUUAUCUCGUUGGAAUUUAAUUGAAAAAGGUAUAUUUAAGUUGGCUUGCCUGGCUCCGACAGUAAGCGCCAUCACGACUCCUGAUGGUGGAAAAUCCGGGUCGUGACAUUUACAAUUUAAAUAAUUUAAAUAAAAAGAGUGUAUCCAUAUUAGAGUAAGCUAUUUUUGCAAUUUUACAUUUUUUUAUUUCUUCUUUUGAUGAAAUGACUAUUUAUCUCAACUGUGUAUUUUUACUUUUUUCAUGUAAAAUCUGUAAAAAAAACAAUAUAUUUUUAAAGCAUCAUAAUUUAGAGCUAUAUAAAAAAUUAAAGCUAAAAUAAGUAAUCAGACUAUGUAUUUUUAUUACUUUUUAGAUGCUUUGACUAUUUAUUUUAAUUGUAUAAAUCUUUAUUAUCAAGUCAAAUUCAAAAAAAAAAUAUUAACUAAAACUUUAUUAUUUUUAUCUAAUUAAAAAUAUUUAGCCUAAAUAAUGUAGUUCUACCAAAGUUUUAUUAUAAAUUGUAUUCGAAUAAAAUUAUCUAAAAAAGUAACAUACUUAUAAAGGUAAAAAUAUAUUUUAUUUUUCAAAAAGAAUGUCAUAUAUACAGAAAAAUUCACGUGACAUGCGAGUGGACCCACUCUCUUUGCGACAUCAGCGUCUGGGGUAAUUCUCAAAAGGCCAAGUUCAGGGGUAAUUAAGACCACAAAUAAUUUAAGGCUGUAACUAAUAAUCCUUGUCAAGUUUAGGAGUGCGAUAAGAUAUUUUGCCUUCUUUUUUUUUUCCAAGUGAAAUUCAUAUCUAAACACAAAUUUUCAACUUUCGAAUAAUUACCUAUUUUAAUUUCAACUUGAAAUAUUUUUCGUAUCAAACGCUUUGGAGUGUUAUUUUCGUGAACUUUAAGUCUUUGUAUUUAAAAAGAUAUUGAUAUGACAACUAUUUUUUUCCGUACAUGCAUGGAUAGAAUGAUGGGGAGGUAUUAUUCUGUCAAAUAAUCAGUACCAUGUGUUUUGAAUUAGAGAUUAUAGACCUUACGCGGAAUACCCAGAGGCACCAUCAGAGGACGGAAAUAAAGAAGAUUUUCGAUACUCUUAUCAACAAUGUUGUUCCUUAAAGUACAUAAAGAACAUGUACUAUUCUUUCAUGAUAUGAUUGGUAUUAGAAUUUAUAAUCCAUCAACAACGAAUUGACCCUUUAUUACUAUUGUCAAGUAAUAUGUUUCGUCACUAUUAAUUUAAUAAGUGCUGAUAUGGUUGAGAUUUUUUUACUAGCUAAUUCUAACUAUAGGAUUCGAAUUCAAAUUUAAACUAAAGAACCUAUGAUAGAUAUUUUUAUCCUGUUGGUAAACCUAUGCAGUAUUUAGUACGAAUUUGAAUUAAUCGACAAACAAAAUGCGGACACUAAAUAGUUUAGUUGAAACAGAAGUACAAGCCUCGCCUACGUAUCCACAUGCAAUUGACCCUUUUAUUAUAUCAGCUUUUUGUUACUAAUUAACCAGACCAUCUAGGUUCUGUAUCAUGUUAUAAUCAGUCUAAACUGUAGUAUCGUCCCACCCCGCUAAUGCUGUUAGAGAAAUAUGAGGACGGAAUAAUUAGGUCUUGAUAGUGUAAUUAUUGUUUUUAAAAAAUUUAAGUCUCUUAAUUUCGUUGAUAUAGGGAUUGUGGCAGAAUUCCUCCAGAAUUCUACCAAGCCUCUGAAAUCAAGUUUCAGCAAUUAACUCGAAUUUCUCACAAGAACAGAAUAGUUGUGAGUUGUAAACAAUAAGUAGAAGAGAAAGAUAUGAAAAUUUCAAAUGGUUUCGUUUUGGAGAUGAUAUAGGUAUUUAUAAUACCUCUAGGAGUUUGUUGGAAUUAACAGACUCAUCUGUGUAGGGAAAUGAUACCGAACAAAUAACAAUAAUAAUAUUAGAAUAAUAUUCUUUGUAAGAAAAUACACGAAUUAGCUUGAAUCGUGCUGGGCACUGUCCUAAUAAACUAUUUCAACAGUGUAAAAUGUUUCUCCGGGAUUUAACAAGUUUACCUCUAUUUUAUUUAGAGAAUACAGAAAUCCGCAAAAUUAAAUAUUACAAACCCAACUAGCAAGUAGAAAAAGUAAAUAAGAAAUGAAAAACUAAUAUUUAAUAUUGGCAGGGGCGACUUUUGGGUAAAGCAGCUAAAGCAUAUGCUUUAGGCCCCCACUUUAGGGGGACCCCAAUUUUUUAGUUUAUUAAAAAAAAUCUGUCCAUUUUCAAGUACAAUUUAUUUUACAAUCAAAAGUAAGCAAUUUUUUCAACUUUGCAGAUUUUGGGCGAAAGAAAAAGAAUAUGGUGGACCCAAAAAAUUAAAAAAUCUGGCCAUUUUUCUCUGUUCUUCUUGGUUUUUGAUUACCUUUUAAUACCUUUCUCACCAAUAUUACAUUACAUAGUUACAUUUGUAUCAUUUUCUCCCCCUUAACUUCAAAACAAUCCUCUUCACCUCUUGCAAUAUUCUAGAGAUUGAAAAAUUUGAAAGCUUAUUGUUUGUGCUAUGAGAUACCGUAUUGCACCAAAAAUAUUAAAGCGACAACUAUUUAUUUUUAAAUCAAGUUAUUGAACAGGUUUUCCUAUUCUAGUUUUUGGUAUUAUUUUCUUCUAAAUCAAUUUUUUUGAUAUCUUUAUUAUAUAGGCAUAUAUUGUCCUUUUAAUAUUUAUUAAAACACAAAUAUUUCAAAUAAAAAGUAUGAUUCUGGUUAUUCAAAACUUAAAAAAAAGAGGGAAAAUUCACUAUUUUCUUCUUCUACUAAAAGAUGGAAAAUUUUAAAAGAUAGUGUGCCUAGUCUAACUCUUAAAUCAUUGUCACAAACACGAUGGGAAAGUCGUAUUGAAAGUAUUAAACCAAUAAGAUUGCAAAUUUCACAAAUAAAAGAUGCAUUAUUGAAAUUAGUAGAAGUUAGUGAAGAUCUAAAAACAAAAAGUGAAGCUAGUUGCUUAUAGAAUAAUGUUAACAGUUCCGGUAACAGUUGCCUCAGCGGAGAGAAGUUUUUCAAAAUUAAAAUUGAUAAAAUCUUAUUUAAGAUCAACAAUGUCUCAAGAGAGGUUGAAUGGAUUAGCUAUAUUGUCAGUUGAAAAGGAAUUGUUAGAAGAAAUUGAUUAUAAAACAGUUAUUCAUACCUUUCAUCUCAAAAUGCAAGAAAAAUAAACUUCAAAUAAAAAAAUAUAUGAGUUUUUAUUUAGUUUUUAAGAAAAAAAUUAAGGCCUCCAUUUGAAGUUUGACUUUAGGCCCCGAAUAGUAUUGAGCUGCCCCUAAAUAUUGGACAACAAAAGAAGAAGGGAGGAGUGAAAGGAAAGGAGAGGAAUGAUGUUUGUUUUAUGAUGGAUAUUUCUUUGUCAAAUGAGAGCAUUUUAUAGUUGAAAUUGCAUGAAGCUUGGCUUUUGCAUGGCAAAAACGUGGAUGAACAUGUGCCACUUUUUAGUCUUCUUUUGCCACUAAUCUUAACCUUUUAGAAGGCCAAAAACACUUGUCCAAAAGGUAUUAAAAUAUUUCCACAGCCCCCCUCUAUUUUGAAGACAUUUUGAAAUAAACAUGUUGGAUUUAUAUGGUCUAAAUGUAAUAGGUCCAGAAGAACCAAACUUAUAUCAAUAAAAAUAUAACUCAUAGAAUUGCUGGUGAAAUAUAAUAUUUCUAUGAACCAAAUAUUACUUAUUGUGAGCCAGAGAUUUUAUCAAUCACAUUUUGACUCCCGGUAAUUUUUCUGUUCAAUGCGAUUUUGCGCCCAAUAGGCCAUGUGCAUGCAUGGUUAUUCAUGAGAGCGGCUCACUCCACUCUCAUAUAGGUGAAUUCAUCGAGUGUAUACUGCUUUUAAAUACACCAUCCAUAAGGACUAUGAAUUUUAUUAAGAGUUAUAACUCAGCCUCUCAAUUAAUAGCAGUCAAGCACUCUCUUUUAGUGCAUCAGCGCCAAUAUUGACUUGCUAUUACCCAUAUGAACAUGGAUCUCCAAUCACAUAAGUUGGGUUACCAUCUAUAUUGGCAACAUGUGCCCUUAACCCCAUCUCUUUUGAGGUUUGAAGAAUUAAUUUUCUUCCCACGUCAGAGGAACGAUCAAAUUUAUCUCUGACUUCACAUAGUCAAUGAAAAUUAUUCCAUAUCUCAACAGCUAUUUUAUGACAUCAUGUCUCAAUUUCAUGUGUCUACUUUUACAAUUAUAAGAUUUAUUAUUUUCUAUAGAUAUUGCCGCUUAAUAAUCACAAUGCAUAGUCACAGGAGGCAAUAUGUCUUUUAUUAAAGGGAUAUUAGCUAAGACGUUUUAGCCACUCAGCCUUAGAACCAGCUAACUCCAGAGCUACAAACUCCGAUUUCAUAAUCGAUCUAGCAAUGAUCGUCUGUGUAGCUGAUUUACACGAUAUUGCACUACCACCAAGGGUGAAUACAUAACCACAAGUAGAUUAUAUCUCAUUUGAAUCAGAGAUCCCGUUUGUAUCACUGUACCCUUCUAAACUAGAAGGAAAUCCACUAUAUAGGAUACCAUAUUUCAUGGUUCCUCUCAAAUAUUUUAUUAGUCUAGUUAAUGCAGAUCAAUGCUCUCUAUUGAGAUUAUGAGUAUAUCUACUCGGUCUACACACAAUAUAGUCUAUAUCGGGCCUUGUAAAAUUAAUUAAAUGCAUUAGACUCACAAUGAUCUGCGCAUAUUUAAACUGAGAAAUUGGGUCACCAUUAUUCCUUUUCAACUGAGUGAUAGCAUCAAAAGGAAUGCUCACAGACGCGACAUUAAAAUAUUCAAACUUCUUAAGAAGUUUCUCAAUAUAUUGUUUUUGUGACAACAUUUGUCACGACCCGAAUUUUUUCACCAUCGGGAUUCGUGAUGGCGCCUACUGUCGGAGCUAGGCAAGCCAACUUAAACAUACCUUUUAAACUAAUUUCCAACAAGAAAAAAAUAAAAAAAUAAAUUCAUGCGAAAUUCUUAAUUUAAUAUAAAAUGAAAGAAAUGCAGAAGAAAGUUAACAUCAUCCUCUACCCAAGAUUUAGUGUCACAGUAAUCACGGACUACUACAUUAUACUACAAAUAAGAGUUUUGAAAGAAAUUACAUAAGGAGUCUGUUUCGAUACAAUGAAAAAAAAUAGAAAUGAACUAAAAGAGACUCGGGGCCACGAACACCAGCGAACUACCUGGAGUCUCUGGACUGAAGGCACGCUCCCAAGCUACUGCUGCCGUCCGUAAGCUGUCUCCUGACCUGUGCACAAAAGGCACAGAAGUUUAGCAUCAGCACAACCGACCCUAUGUGCUGGUUAGUGUGUGGCCUAACUUCGGUGAGGUAGUGAUGAGGCUAGACCGGACCUACCACAAUUAACCUGUACAGAUAUAUGUGCAACAACGGAAAGAUAUACAAAUAGAAAUUCAAACAUACAAUAGGAGGGGGGACAUGCUGUGGGGUGUAACAGAUUAGAUAUGAGAUCACGAACAUAGGGAUGGAAACCGAAUAAUAAACAUCAAUGAAAGAGAGCAAAUAAUUAAUAACUGCACGACACCAACCUUCGUGCUUUUACUCUCAACUAUCACUAAAACCAUCAAACAUAAAUGCACGGCACCACCCUUCGUGCUUUUACCCUCAAUUCUCACUAACAGUCAAAUAUAUAUGCACGACAUUACCCUUCGUACUUUUCCUCACAUAACUCUUACAUCAAAGCACGGAAAGACCCUUCGUGCUCCAAUAAUAAAAAACAUGGCAAGGGAAGACCUUUCGUGUAUAAUUAUCAAUACAUGUCACUGAAAGACCAUUCGUGCAUAAUCUCUCUUCCUUAUCCAAAUCAAUAGUCAAAACCAAUCGGGGAAGGAAAUAUACAAUAAGAUUAAACAUCCCGGCAAGGGAGAACAAAUCAAUAAUAAGUCCCAACGAGCGAAAACGAAUUAACAAUAAGUCCCGGAAAGGAAAAAAUACCACACUUCCUUCUUUGACUCAGUUGCUUCUCAACUAUCACGUCAUAACUUAUUUAGCAAGUAAUUAACUCAAUUGUUUCACAACUUUCGAAUUUAAAAGCAACUACGACUCAUGGUCAUGCUAGACUCGGGUGCAUAGGUAACCGUCAUCAUACCUAUACACCGACUCCACAUAGCACAUAGAAAAUACUGUCCUAAUCCUAUUUCCUCAAUCCAAAGUUAGAAAAAACACUUACCUCGAAAUCUCCAAACUCAACUCAUGCCUCUAGGAUAGCUUUACCCCUCGAGUUCGCAAUAACACCGCUCGAAUCUAGUCACAAGUUACCCAAAUGUAUCAACAAAUGCUAGUUAAAUCAAUUUGGAGGCAUAAAAAUGAAUUUUCCAAAUUUUAUCCAAAAUACCCCCGGGCCCACAUGGUCAAAACUCGAGGUUCGAACCAAAAUCCGAUUAUCCAUUCCCCCGCAAAUCUGAAUAUAUAAUUGGUUUUGAAAUCGGACCUCUAUUGGGGUCCAACUCCCCACUUUUUAAGAAAACCUAGGUUCUACCCCAAUCCCCAAAUUCUCAAUUGUGAAAACCUUGAUUGAAGUUGAAGUUAUGUUAAAAGAUGUUAAUGUUUAGGAAAGCCCAAAGUUUUACCCAAAAAUUCCCAAAAUGCCCCAAGGCCCACAUGGUCCAAACCCGAGGUUCGAACCAAAAUCGGGUUACCCAUUCCCCCACGAGUUCAUAUCUAUAAUUUAUUUUGAAAUCGGACCUCAAAUUGAGGUCCAAAUUCCCAAAUUUAAGAAAACCUAGGUUCUACCCCAAACCCCCAAAUUCUCAUUUGUGAAAACCUUUGAUUGAAGUUGAAAUUAUGUUAAAAUAUAUAAAGGAGUAGGAGAAUUAAGUUAGAAAUCACUUACCAAUCGUUUUGGAGAAGAAAAGUUGUCUGGAAAAUCGCUUAUUAGGUUUUGGGUUUUUGAAAAGUGGAAAAAAGGGCUGAAAUUUUCGAACUUUUAUACCUCUCUAAUGAUCGGACGCGGACCGCUCAAAAAUAUGUUGCGGCCGCGCCGAGUGGAAUGAAAAUUGGGGCUUCUUUGAACCCCCCCAGCGCGAACAACACUGAGUUGGUGUGCGGUCGCGCUGGUUAACCAGCACCCAGCACGACUCAGACACGGACCGCACAGGAGUGCCUCUCGGCCGCGUGGCUCCAGCGCAGAUGGCACAGAAAUGAUCGCGGUCAUGCUGGUGUUUACAAUACCUGAACUUACUUUUCUUUAAGCCUAAUACCUCCCGGGCCUCACUUAAAACUCACCCGAGCCCUUGGGGCUCCAAAUCAAAUAUGCAAACUAUCUCAUGAACAUCCUACGAAUAUACUCGUGCUAUCAAAUUGCCAAAAUAACAUCAUUUACAUAGAAUCAAACCUCAAAACACAUGAUUUCUUCAAACUUCCCAUAAAACUCUUAUUUCUCAUUUUUUAUGUUCGAAACACGUCAAAUGACGUCCGCUUUCAACCAAACUUUAUAGAUAGCGCUUAAUGCUCAUUUAUGACCUAUACCGGUCAUCGGAACAAAACUCAUUUUCAUUUCAACUUUUCAUAUCAUUUUCAGAUAAAUAAUUUCUUUUAAAAAUUUUGUCGUCGUGCCUAGGAACUUGGAUUUCGAUUCCGGGAAUAUGCCCGGGUCCCAUAUUUUUCUACGGACCUUCCGGGACUGUCACAUCACGGGUCCGGGUCCGUUUACCUAAAUUGUUGACUAAAGUCAACUAUGUCAAUAUUAUUAUCAAAAUUCAUAGUUUUAACACAAAAUUCAUAUAUUUCCACAUAAACAUUUUUUUGGCUUCACAUCUGGACUGUGCACGCAAAUCGAGACGAGCAAAUGUGAGGUUUUCUAGGCCUCGGAAGCACAGUGAACUGGAGAAUUAUGGUGAUGACCCUUUGGAUCGUCACAUCCUCCACCUCUUAAACAAUCGUUCGUCCUCGAACGGACAAAAGAAAGAAGUACAUGAGUCAGGGAAUAGAUGGGGAUAAUGGCUCCGCAUAUCAGACUCGGACUCCUAGGUCGAUGCCUUAGGAGGCUGACCUCUCCACUGAACACGCACUGAAGGAAAACUCCUUGACCUCAAUUGUCGAGCCUGCCGGUCUAAAAUAGCCACCGGCUCCUCCUCGUAUGACAGAUGCUUGUCCAAUUGGACAAUGCUGAAAUCUAACACAUGGGUGGGAUCACCGUGAUACUUCCGAAGCAUGGAUACAUGAAAAACCAGAUGCACGGCUGACAAGAUAGGUGGCAAGGCAAGUCUAUAAGACACCUUCCCCACGCGAUCGAGAAUCUCAAAUAGGCCAAUAAACCUAGGGCUAAGCUUGCCCUUCUUCCCGAAUCUCAUCACGCUCUUCAUAGGCGACACUCGGAGCAAUACUNNNNNNNNNNNNNNNNNNNNNNNNNNNNNNNNNNNNNNNNNNNNNNNNNNNNNNNNNNNNNNNNNNNNNNNNNNNNNNNNNNNNNNNNNAAAGCAACGUCUCUGACCUUGCGAUCUGCAUAACUCUUCUGCCUAGACUGAGCUGACCGAAGUUUGUCCUGAAUGAUCUUGACCUUAUCCAAGGACUUCUGCACCAGAUCUGUUCCCAAUAAUGGAGCCUCUCCUGGCUCAAAUCAUUUGACUGGGGGCCAACACCGCCUACCAUACAACGCCUCGUACGGAACCAUCUGAAUAUUGGACUGGUAAUUAUUGUUGUAGGCAAACUCUGCUAAAGGCAAGAAUUGGUCCCAUGAGCCUAUAAAAUAAAAUAACGCAGGCUCGGAGCAUAUCCUCAAGAAUCUGAAUAGUCCUCUCGGACUGACCGUACGCCUGGGGUGAAAUGAUGUACUCAACUGAACCUGGGUGCCCAACGCAUGUUGUACCGCUCUCCAGAAAUGCAAAUAAACAGCGGACCUCUGUCCAAAAUAACAUAUAUGGGCACCCCAUGAAGGCAAACGAUCUCUCUGAUAUAAAUCACGGCAUAUCUCUCGGAUGAAUAGGCGGUGGCAAUAGAAAUAAAAUGCGCUGACUUGGUCACCCUAUCAACAAUAACCCAUAUAGCAUCAAACGUAUUCCUAGUCAUCGGAAG